GAUAACCGGAACAGAUAGAACAACCAGCAUAACACAUAAAACCAUCAGGGCCAAAUGCAAUCCCUACCAGCUUCAAUUGAACAAAGAUACCAAGUGCAAGACAGUACAUGCACGAAUUCAGUAAAUGGUACUAGCUUCCAACACUAUAUAUACAAUAGAUACGGAUAUAGGUAACGCGCUGAGCAAACAACGCGAGGUGCAUUGAGAGCAGCUUCGGUCACAACAGCGAGCGAGCACAUGUUCCAGCAUAUGCCCUGAGGAUGGCCAUGCCUUGUGCGGUCAACCAUCCAACCCUUUAAACGCGACACGGUUGACUUGGAUCUUCCAGUGCAAGGAUCCGUGCUGCACUUUAGGCAUUCGAAGCAGCACGUCACCCAGCGCCCUGGCUGGAAUGGCAAAAGAUCACGCGCAAGGGGUCAUCGCUAAUUCACGGGGUAAAGAACUUCAUGGUGGAUGAAGGAUUUAGUUACCAUGGUCGCCCACGCGUCAGCGCCGCUCCUCCGACCUUGACCUCACAAACCUCCUGCGAGUCCUGGGCCUCUGAACCUCCUCGUCUAGGCUAUCCUCGUCCUCAUCAUCGUCGUCGUCAUAUUGGAGGCCUAGCAAGUUCUCUCCCCACAGAUAGCGGCGCCUCUGCCUUCUCAGGGCCCUUGAUGAGGAUCUUGGCUCAUCUCCUGAUCUCAGCGGACCACUGUUCAUCAUAUGGAAUAGAAAGAACGUCGUCAACAGAGACCCGCUUCGCUCACUUGGCCCACCGUCUUCACGCUCGUCUGCACUUGGCCCACCUUCAAUGACGUAAUCUCCAAGCACAACUGACCCAGGCAUAGCCGACCUGAUUGCGCUCAUUAUGUCACCAUACUCCCGCUGGUUCUCCAGGCGGUGCCAUGCGCGUCGCCUUGACGGGUCCACAUCAGCAGGCCUGGUAGUGGGGUGCACCCUCCUGGCAUGUCUACGGAGCGCACCAUAGGUACCAGAAAAUGCGCAUGCUUCCCGCGAGCAGCUUCUUGGCUUCUCGUCCAAGUACUGUCUGGCAUCUUUGAUGAUCUCCCAGCCCUUCACAGCACCCCUACACAGUGGGCACAUCAAUUCAUUCGAGUUGGAUGCCUCAGCUGACUCAACUUGCCCAGUCACUUGUCCCAUAAGAGCUUCCAAUGUUACUGGACCUUGAUUAUAGUUAGUUCCUUCUUGCUGUCCAGAUACGGCUGCAGGGCUACGGACAUGUUCAUGACUGAGAUUUUCACGGAAUUCAGGUACAUCUAUUAACAGCCUGGGGCUCCCUCUACUGGGACCGAGACGGGAUCUCUCUGAAACAUUUUGGUUACUUGUAUCUCCAGGCAAGGAAGAGCUUGGCUGUGAUGAACUGUCCAUGCGGUUCACUUUCAUUUUCCUGAAUCUGUCUAGGCAAUUUGAGUGUCUAUAGCUUGUAUCACAGAUGUAGGAUCUGCAUCCUUUGUCAUGAGAACUGCACAACAGAAGCACAGCAUUGUGAGGAUGGUCCAUGCAAAUUGGACACCGAGCAUCAUCCCAUUCCUUGUGCAGUGCAGCCAUCUCGGCAUCUGCGCUUGGCAUCCUGAACAACUUCUUCUCUGGAUUUGGCAUCUUGGACAUGCUGUUCUGGGACCAAUUAGAAGAACAUAACUAGUCAAUUUAACAUCGAAACAUAUCUAGGAAUGAUUACAUCUUUACUGAGUCUAAUUAUUCGAGAUAUAUACACAAGACUCAGAAAAUGUUGAAAGCAGAAAGGCAGCCAAAGGGAAAAAAACUUAUGUUAACCAGCUUCAACAGUGAAGGUACGAAAUUGAUUUAUAUGUUUUCUGCUCAUCCAAGUUAUCAAUAAACUAACAAGUUUGAGCUUCAGUCAAUGCGGUCCAAGUUAUAUAUAAAAUUUACAUACAGUUAAGAUUUCAAUCAAUUAAGAUAAUUAAUUUGCACCUUGCAGAUAUUGAAUCUAACUAUCCAAUUGAUUCAUAUGUUCAACCAACAGCAAUCAUAUUACACUAACCAGAGCGGUGAAAUAAACUCUUAACAAGAACUGAUGAGAUUAAUACAAGAGACUAGAUGAUUUGAUAUAUCCUAGCCCCCUGUUAUGUCCAAGACCUGUAUAAUUAGGUGCUCCGGUUCAAUAUAUGUCCUAGUCUGAUGAAGUGGCAGCACAAACUACAUGUGCAAAAGCACUGAAAGGUGUAAUUGCAAUCAUGUUAUUUGAACUUAUUUAUCCUUGUUUUAGUAACUCAUCGUAUGAUCUUCAAAUAAGUAAAGGAAACGGUUGAUAAGAUUCCGUUCACCUUAAAAUACUACUCCUCCGUCCAGAAAUACUUGUCAUCAAAAUGGAUAAAAGGCGAUGUAUCUAGACGUAUUUUAGUUCUAGAUACAUCUCUUUUUAUUCAUUUUGAUGACAAGUAUUUUCGGACGGAGGGAGUAUUACCUCCGUCCCGAAUUAGUUGUCUCAGAUUUGUCUAGAUACGGAUGUAUAAGUGUCUAGAUACAUCCGUAUCUAGACAAAUUUGAGACAACUAAUUCGGGACGGAGGGAGUAGUAGUAAUUAGUAAAUUAUAAGAUAUAUCAUCAGAAAGUUAUAAAAGUUAUCCAUGUCCAAUACUAGGACAAACGAUGUAGAUAAUUUUAACCAUAUACAGCAUGUUUACCUUAAAAAACAUAAACAACAUUUUUCAUUUGCCGAAGUAACAUAACAGUAUUCUUUAUAUUACUUUGCAAUAGUGAAUGGAACAGUACAUCUUUCACCAGCAGCACCAAAAAAACUGAUUGAAAUGAUAACGGCUGAGACCCAUGCUACAGUUCACACGACAAUGUCAGAAUUCUCAACAAACAUGUUUCCCUAAUCACCCACACACCAAUGCUAGCUUUCUCAACAGACUCAUAUCAUUCGUACUAAGACUAGCAAGUACUAUCUCCAAUAUUCACAUCAAGCACAGCCUGUAUGAUGUACCAUCACCUGCUUAAAAUUUUUGACCCAGUGGAACAGAUCAAGGAGCUGGAGUACCUUAAAAUGAAUCAAGACAUACAAUAAAUACAUAGCAUUAUUGCAAAACUAUCCCUAGUGCUACUCAAUUACAUUAUGCAGCACGGCAUGAUCUUUGCAUCCACCGGAACAAGCUGGUUGAGACCUAUGAUGUGUUGACACUUCAAAAUAGCACUAAUCAUGAUCGAAGCUGUGCUCAUAGCAUUACUGAAUUCACCCAGGUGCAGCUGGACAUGCACAACAGCUGUAUACAAUUCAUUCAUUUUGAAGUUCUCACCUGGGCUCAAUCUUGAAGAACACCCAAACAGGCAAUCCGAAACCUUUGCGGAAAGCGCUCAACUCAGACUCCGGCGCCGAUCCUGUAUUUGCAUUGCACAAUGAAAAAGGUUUGUCAUCCAUGGUUACAGAUGCUCAAACAAACUUAAAUCUCGCAUGGCUUUCCCACUAAUCGGCACGCAUUUUCUUUGAAUUAAUGUCCCCCCUUCUAAAGUGUCAGAUUUAUUUUUCUUCAACUUGCAGCAAAUGACUGCACAUCAGGUUCUUCGUUUACCACUUUUAGCGAGCACAUGGAGAUGAUCCAACAACAACAAAAAAGUCCCGAUCUAUCUCCAUGGAACCCUAACACCUCAAUAACCCCCGUCCCAUGCUACCAAAAAAUCCCCAACCUUAUCCCGGGGAGAACGAGGCGGCGAUUCCAAGGCCAUGGAGGUCGCGGAAUCGCCCAGAUCCACGGGCAGAUCUGGACGCCGGGCACCGAUUUGCGCCGGUUUAGUUUGGGAUUAAGCAACCGCCGGACAGCCAAGGGGCCAUACCUCAAAUAGUAACCGCCCAAGGCUGCGGGCGGAGACGGCGAUGGGGGUUAGGACGGGGACGGCGACGCGGGCGAGGGGCGGAGGGGUGAGUGGCCGGCGGCGAGGCUAGGCCACGCCGCGGCGGCCGGAUUGGAUUGGAUUGGAGGCUUGGGUAGGUCAGGACUCAGGACGACUCUGGAGAGGGGGAGAGGAAGAGGAGUGAAAGGCCCCGUCUUUCCUUUGCUCCGGAGACGGCGGUUUUUGUUCUAUGCGAAAAGCUUCGAUUUUUAUCUUUGAACCCUUCGAAAAGCUCCAACUUUGUAUGUCAUCUUUGUUUGGGUGGAUGGAUGGAUGUGGAUGGAUUGCAUUGAAAAAAGGCCCUCAUGAAAGAUGCAAUGUUGCGUACAAGUUUGUGUAUGUGUUGUGCACCUCUUACGGUGACAUGGGUUUAGUAGGAAAGGAGAAAAUAACUGAGUUAUGAAUCUAGAAUUUUGCGAUUUGGUGGGGAGGAGAUUGGCGAUGUUGACCCCACCGACAAGCGCCGACCGAAAAUAGGAAACGAUCCAACUCCACCGAUCGAAACCGUCGAUGUGUCUCCUCUUCUAACCGGAGCGCGGCCUCGACCUAGACGUUGAAAGAGGCCCAGAUGCGAUGAGCCGGCACAACCAACAUGGAUGACGAGGGACCAAGGAGGUGAGGCCAUCGACCAGCGGGCAGGAGGUGGGGGGAUGGCUAUAAGGCGACGAUGACAACUACUACGACGGUGUUGUCCGCCUCUUUCGUUGACGUGGGUUUAUAGAAAAGGAAAAGGAACCCAAGAUGAAUCUGUAGUUUUGCGAUUCGGUGGGGAGGAACCGACAAUUCUGAUCCUGCUGAAAGACUUCGGCCAAAAAUAGGAAAUGAUUCAACUCCACCGAUUGAAACCGUCGCUGCGUCCAACACCGCCGACGCCACUCAAUCGUGUGGUGGAGAGCGCGUCUCCUUUCUAACCGGAAUGCAACCUCAACCUAGAUGUUGAAAGAGGCCCAGAUGCGACGAGCCGGCACAACCAACAUGGAUGACGAGGGACUAAGGAGGCGAGGCCAUCGACCAGAGGGCGGGAGGUGAGGGGAUGGCUAUAAGGCGAUGGUGACGACUACUACGACGGUGUUGUGCACCUCUUCCGUUGACAUGGGUUUAUAUGGAAGGAAAAAUAACGAGGGAUGAAUCUAUAAUUUUGCAAUUCGGUGGGGAGGAAACCAGCAAUUUUGACCCUGCCAAAAAUAGGAAACGAUCCAACUCCAUUGAUUGAAAUCGUCGAUGCGUCUAACAACGUCCGACACCACUCGAUCAUGCGGUGCAGAGCGCGUCUCCUCUUCUAACCGGAAUGCAACCUCAACCUAGACGUUGAAAGAGGCCCAGACGCGACGAGCGGCACAAUCAACAUGGACGGCAAGGGACUAAAGAGGCGAGGCCGUCGACCAGUGGGCAGGAGGUGAGGGGAUGGCUAUAAGGCGAUGGUGACGGCUACUACGAUGGUGUUGUCCACCUCACCCGUUGACGUGGGUUUAUAGGAAAUAAAAAAAGAACGAGGGAUGAAUCUGUAAUUUUGCGAUUCGGUAGCGAGGAACCGGCAAUUUUGAUCCCGCGGACAGACUUCGGCCAAAAAUAGGAAACGAUUCAGCUCCACCUAUUGAAACUGUCGUUGCGUCCAACACUAUCCGACACCACUCGGUCGUGUGGUGCAGAGCGUGCUUCCUCCUAAUCGGAACGCAGACUCAACCUAGAUGCUGAAAGAGACAGACGAGAUGGCACAAUCAACGGAGAUAGUGAGGGAUUAAGGAGGCGAGGCCAUCGACCAACGGGUAGGAGGUGCGGGAAUGGCUAUAAGGCGUUGGUGACAACUACUACGACGGUGUUGUCCGUCUCUUUUGUUGACGUGGGUUUAUAGGAAAGGAAAAAAAGAACGAGGGGUGAAUCUGUAAUUUUGCGAUUCGGUGGGGAGGAAACUGGCAAUUCUGACCGUGCUGACAGACAUCAACCAAAAAUAGGAAACGAUCCAACUCCACCGAUUGAAACCGUCGAUGCGUCCAACACCGCCCGACGCCACUCGACAUGAGGUACAGAGCACGUCUCCUCUUCUAACCGGAACACAACCUCAACCUAGAUGCUGAAAGAGGCCUAGAUGCGACGAGAUGGCACAAUCAACAAAGAUAGUGAGAGACUAAGGAGGGGAGGCCAUCGACCAGCGGGCAGGAGGUGCAUGAAUGGUUACAAGGCGUCCAACACCGCCAGGCACCACUCGACAUGCGGUAUAGAGCGUGUCUCCUCUUCUAACCGGAAUACAGUCUCAACCUAGACGCUGAAAGAGGUCCAGAUGUGACGAGAUGGCGCAAUCAACGAAGAUGGUGUGAGACUAAGGAGGCGAGGCCAUCGACCAGCGGGCAAGAGGUGCGGGAAUGGUUAUAAGCGAUGGUGACGACUACUAAGAUGGCGGCGGCGGGCACCCGCAGGCAGCCACCACAUGCAAGUGCUUGUGAGUCCCUCCCCCAAAUCAAAUCAUGAGUCCUGACGUACCCAAACCUGCACACUCAAUCCCCCUGAUGAGCCACCGAGCAAGGACACCACCAGAUCCGUCGCUCGUGAGUUGCCAUGUCGGCCAAGGCGACACGCCACACCAGGAGGAGCUCGCCGCCAGCCUAAUCCGACUGUUCCAGAGCGGGAUAGUAGGAAGGAAAGAGGGGCAGCGACAUGAGUUCACCCGUUCUACCCCCUCCCCCCUCCAGGUAGAGCGACACAAGCGCCUUUUUUCCCGAUGUGACUAUGUCAAUACUACACAGAAAGUGAAUUGUAAAGCAAUAAAUCCGCCUCAUGUUAUACCAAAAACAUCAUUUUUCUAGUAUUACCUUAAAUGGAUUAUUCAACUAUAUCUUUGUAAUUAAUAUUCUUCAAUACAUAAUUAAUAUAAUACUUUCGUAUGGCAUGAAGAACCAAUCAGAAAAAACAAUUAUUUAUUUCUAUGUACACUCAGCAAUAAAAACGUGCAAAUAAGCAUAGCCUAAAUUAGUAAAUCAAAGCCGCACUAUUAAAAAAAGUAGAAUAUAUUGCACAAAGAGAAAGAACUCAUGUAGGACGAUAGCUUUCGCUCGGCAUUGUCAUCGGGCGUUGUGCGGUGAAACAGUUCAAACUGCCAUGGGGAGCUGCCACUUGCGCUUGCCGCCUACUGUCUUUCACCGUCGCAAUGGAUCAUGGACAAGACUCGGGGAACCUAUGUGCAAGGGCAAAUGCUAUAUGUCGCCUCUUGCGAGACGAACGUAGCUCUCGCCUCUGGCUAUUCGACAUGGUCGUGACCCGACCAUGUGGAUGUGGUGUUAUAGUUUUGGAAGGUUCCCUCCGAUUUUUUAAUCAUUUUAAUUUUUUUUGUAUUUUCAUUUUCUUUUGGCUUUUCAUUUUAUUGUUUUUCCUUUUCUUAUUUAUUUAUUUUCUCCUUUUUCUAUUUCCAUUUAUUUUCUCUUUUUUAAAUACACAUUGAUCAUUUUUCAAACGCACAUUGAAUAUUUUUUCAAUUCACAUUAAAUACUUUUUUAAUACAUGUUUGAAUAUUUUUUUAAAUACAUGGUAACUAUUGUUUAUAUGUCAUGAACAUUAUUUUCAAAAAAAGUUAAGAACAAUCUUUUAAAAUUUCAAUAAAAUUUUCUAAUUUUUUUGAUGAACAAGUUUUAACAUUCUAACAUUUCUAAAUGUGAUUAACAUAUUUUUUGAAUGGUAUGGAUUUUUUAUUGUCAUAAAAAACUUAAAGCAUGAUGAACAUUUUCUAACUACACAAUAAACUUUUUAAAAUGCAUUAUAAAUAUUUUUUAAUAUAUAGUAAAUCUUUUUAGUGCAUCAUGAACAAUUCCUAAUGCAUGAUAACUCUUUUUAGUAUGCGAUGAACAUUUUUUGACUAGCUAUUUCAUCAAAUCCCAAUUGUGUGGGUGUGCUAUUUAUAUCACAUUUGUGCUACAAAUGUUAAAACAGAUUGGGAAUGUCCCAUCAUGCCUUCUAGGAGUAGUUCAAUAGCUUGUUGAUCUGCAGUGAUCCAAGAGCAAGAACAGGGCCCAAAAUAGAAAGCAGCGAUAGCCUACACUAUUUUUUUUUUUGUAAAUACAAGAAAAAUACUUCUAUACAUUUUUAUAUAAUAUGCAUAAUUGUUUUAAAAAUUAUUCACAAUAUUUUCUAAUAGACAAUGAACAUUUUCCAAGUGUAGAAACAUUUUGCAUGAAUGUGUGAAACCCUUUAAAAAAUAAUCUGAUACGUUUUCAAAGUACAUUAUUUUUUAUAGAAAAUUCCCAUGUGUCUCUAAUAUAUAUUUCUUGUAUUUUAUCCGAAAAAAUAGAGAAAAAUAAAACGAGGAAAGUGGGAAAAGGUAGGAAAUGAGUUGCCUGAAUGCAUAACUGGGCCACAUUUGUUUUUAGGGUAACCAUAUGUUUCAUUGAUUACAAAUAUGGUGAAUACAACGCACGCAUGUGGAACCGACCUGAAGGGUCAAGAGCAAACACGUGUCCGGAAAACUCUUCCAAUAAAAUAAACCAUGUUCUGUAGGCAAGAGCCACCUUCAGCUUGCAAGAGACUGUCUUAAAAUAAAAGAACUCACAACGGGCGAGAAAUAGUGCCUUUUUGUAUUUGAUGCUCGAUGCGUCAAAUUGUGGGCAAGUGUUUUCAGUUGUCUUCCUUUUGUCUUUUGUCUUUUAUUUUUUCGUGUUUUAAAAUGUUUAAAUAAUUUCAGAAUUGUACAAAAAGUUCAUGAAUGUUCAAAAACAUUAAACUUAGGUUGGAUUUUUAAAAAUGGAAUUUCAAAAAGUCUCAUAGUUUUGUUUUUCUCACAAAUGCAAUAAAUGUUCAUGAUUUGAAAAAAAUGCUCACAACUGAAAAAAAUCGCAUUUGAAGAAAUCACGAAAUUCAAAUUUUGUUUAUGUUGAAUUUUAUGCAAAACAUUUCGAAAUUUUAAGAAUUUUUCUCAAUUUAGAAAAAUUGUUCUCAUUUUAUGGCAAUUUUUUUUCAUAGUACUCGUAAUUUUCAAAAAAUGUUCAAACUUUGAUAAAUGUUCAAAAAAUCAAUAAAACCUACUUCUGCAAAUUUUCUUGAUCUAAAUCUAGGAGCUUUCCAUUAAGAAGAUCUUUUUCACAGUUAGAAUAGAUAAAAAUUGUAGGUUUCUUUCCUAUUGUUUCCCGAUGAAGAAAAAAACAAGGGAGCUGGCAUUUCAAUUCACAAGCGAAUGUGGCCGACAAAUAAUAUGGUCAAAUGACGAAGCUGGGAAAAAUGCGGUGGUCGAUUUCUAGAACGUUGGAUUAAGAUCCAAUGAGAAUGGUUCUUUAUUCUUCCUCUUUCGGCUGCUUGGUCCAAUCCAAGCAGGAAUGUAAUGCGAACAUGCUCCCUACCAUACGCCUGUCAAGCCUCCACCAUGACGCAGCAAACCGUGCCGUCUUCGGUCGACGGACCCGAAUUCAUUUUUGGGCAAUCUACAUAUAGCAACAAAGGAUUUCAAUACUGGUCGGAAAUUAUUAUUUUUAAAUAAAUUACCAUGGUACAUGUUUUAAAUAAACAGUGCAAAUGUAAGCAGCUCAUCCGCAAAAAAGUAAGCAUGCGACUGAACUGAAAAAAACAGCCUAAAUGCUAGAAAGUGUAGCUGCGCUUUCUUGUCAUCAUGAGUGCACGCGCUGCCGAGAAAUUGGCAUACACUUCGUCCACCUCCAAAUGAAAAGAGUCAGCACAGGUAUGACGCAAGUGAGUAUGAAAAAAUUUAGAUAGUGGCAGUGUGCACGGAUGCAUCCGCGUUCAUGUGGAUAGACAACAUCUGUGUGCCUGCAUGUGUCGACGUCACCUAUUUAUUCCGUUUUUUUCUUCAAAAAGCUACAACUUUUGAACCAAGUGACAUAACGAAGAACCGUUUUGACCGUUGGGUUCCUUGUGACGAGAUCUUUAAAACUAGAUACCAUAUGAGGCAACUUCAGUAAUAAACAGAAGUAACUUUAAUGCUAGAUGAAUUGCACUGUGUAUAUUAGUGAAUUCGCUUAGUAGCCUCACAAUUAGCUGUGUAUAGUAGUGAAUUAGAUGGUUAUCAUUGUUGCUAAGUUGCAUAUAUCAGAAACUAAGCUGUAAAUAGUUUAGUUGCCUAACAUAAUAUAAAAGUUGCUUACCGUAGAGUGGAAAGCUGUCUAACAUGCCUUCUAAGUAGUCUACCUAAGAAACCAAGUUGCAACAUCGCUACGAAGUAGUGGUCCUCAAUUACAAUACUAUGGAAGUUGUCUAUCAAAGGACCUAAGUUGCCUACAACCUCGAAAGUUUUUGUGGGACUUAACUUGUCUAUGAUGAUUCCAAAUUUUGAAACCAUGUGAGAAUGGAUGGUAUGAGAUCCUUGUGGUUCCCUUUUUCAGGGGACUCUGCCAAGUCGUGACGACCUCUUCAAAACUACACCCGCACGCCUAGAUAAAAUCAACUUCUACUAUAUUAAAAGUAACUAAUAAAAUCAACAAUAAGCAACUUCACUUCAUUAGAAGUAACUAAUUAAGCAACAAUAAGCAACUAACUAGCUAGUAAUAGUGAACAACUUCGAAAUAGAGACAACAUCACAUCACCUUCAUAAGUAAUUUUUCUUCUAUGAGAGGCAACUUUAGUGCUAAAAAUAGGAAACUUCACUACCUUUUGUGUCCUAAUUAACUUUUUCUAACAUUCUCCUAACUUCUUCACCGGUACUUCUAAGUUGUCUAUUGUUCAUACUCGUAUGUCGUUAUUUCUAUUGCCUAUAAUACUAUGAAGUCAUCUACCAUUGAUGCUCUAUUGUUCGCUACUUCUAGUUAUGGUAGGCAACUUUUUUUGAAAGCAUGGUUAUGGUAUGAAACUUGGUUUUGAAUCUGGGUAACUUCAGAGUGAUUGUAAGCAACUUAGAAAUACAUUGAUAGCAACUACUUCACAAUAUUGUAGGCAACUAUUUUUUGCAAAAUUAGCCAACUGAGCAGCAAUGACAGGAACCUACCAAUAGCCAAAAACUAGGCAUCAAUGAUAGGCAAUUUAUAGUAUUUAUCGGCAACUAAGCAUCAACCGCAGGCAACGGACCAUCUACAAUAGGCAACGGAGCAGCCAAGAUAGGCAAGUUAGGAUAACGUUGGCAAAAUUCACAAAUACACAUAGUGCAAUGAAGUUUCUUGUAUGUAACACUAAAGGUGCCUCACGUUUUGUGUGACGUUUCUCAUUUUUAUGCAACCAACCUAAUAGGCAGUCCUAUUAGGCCAAAAAGAAGAAGUUGCUUCCCUAUGGCACUAAAGCUGCCUCCAUUGCAUCCAAAGUUGUUCACAAAAAAAGUUUGAUGAAACCUACCCAUAAGGGAUCUACUUUUGAAGAAUUCUUCAUGAGAAACCCAACUGUGAAAACAGAUUUGAAUUCUGAUAAACGAAUCAAAAGUUAUGGCUUUAAUUUUUUUUUAACCCCAAAUAAAUGCAUGGCGCCCGAGCACUCCCUAGCAACGUCUAAAAAACAGAGUAGCAGUCAACAAAAAGGAUCCCCUUUCUGCCUGCCUGCGCCCAGACCAAACCCCACCGGCGACGAGACCAACGGAGCAAUGGAUGGUGAGGCGGUCGUGUCCAGGGUGUUGGAGGAUGACGACCUCCUGGUCGAGAUCUUGCUCCGCGUCGGCCGCCCCGGUGGCAUCGUCUGCGCUGCGACCGCCACUUGCAGGCGCUGGCUCGGCCUCGCCUCCGAGCCGGCCUUCCUUCGCCGCUUCUGCGAGCUGCACCCGCCCGUCCUCCUUGGCUUCUACCUCGACGAGGCUCCCUGUGCGCCGACCCGCGCUUCGUCCCGAUGCUCGAGGGGCUUGAUACGUCUCCAACGUAUCUAUAAUUUUUGAUUGUUCCAUGCUAUUAUAUUAUCUGUUUUGGAUGUUUAUAUGCAUUAAUAUGCUAUUUUAUAUUAUUUUUGGGACUAACCUAUUAACUUAGAGCCCAGUGCCAGUUUCUGUUUUUUUCCUUAUUUUUGAGUUUCGCAGAAAAGGAAUACCAAACGGAGUCCAAACGGAAUGAAACCUUCACGAUGAUUUUUCUUGGACCAGAAGACACCCCAGAGACUUGGAGAUCAAGUCGGAAGAGCCACGAGGCGGCCACAAGGGGGGAGGGCGCGCCCCCACCCUUGUGGGGCCCUCGUGACUCCCCUGAACUAAUUCCUUCGCCUAUAUCUUCACAUAUAUUCCCAAACCACCAGAGGCAUCCAAGAAAACACUUUUCCACCGCUGCAACCUUCUGUACCCGUGAGAUCCCAUCUAGGGACCUUUUCUGGCACCCUGCCGGAGGGGGAUUCGAAUGAUGUAGAAGCCCUCCGUGAUCUGUGGUAAAUUACUCACGCUUCAUCGGAAGGGCAAUAGAGUUGAUGUAGAAGCCCUCCGUGAUCGAAUCCCCCUUCGGCAGGACGCCGGAAAAGGCCCAUAGAUGGUAUCUCACGGGUACAGAAGGUUGUAGCGGUGGAAAAGUGUUUUCGUGGCUCUCCUGGUAGGUUUUGGAAUAUUUGAGAAUAUAUAGGCGGAAGAAAUAGGUCGGUGGAGUCACGAGGGGCUCACAAGGGUGGGGGGCGCGCCCUCCGUCCUCAUGGGUGCUUCGUGGCUUCCCUGACAUGUACUCCAAGUCCUCUGGAUGUCUUCUGGUCCAAGAAAAAACAUCGCGAAAGUUUCAUUCCGUUUGGACUCUGUUUGGUAUUCCUUUUCUGUGAAACUCUAAAACAAGGAAAAAACAGAAACUGGCACUAGGCUCUAGGUUAAUAGGUUAGUCCCAAAAAUAAUAUAAAAUAGCAUAUUAAUGCAUAUAAAACAUCCAAAACAGAUAAUAUAAUAACAUGGAACAAUAAAAAAUUAUAGAUACGUUGGAGACGUAUCAAGCAUCCCAAGCUUAAUUCCUGCUCGUCCUCGAGUAGGUAAAUGAUAAAAACAGAAUUUUUGAUGUGGAAUGCUACCUAACAUAUUUAUCCAUGUAAUUUUCUUUAUUGUGGCAUGAAUGUUCAGAUCCGUAUGAUUCAAAAAAAAGUUUAAUAUUGACAUAAAAACAAUAAUACUUCAAGCAUACUAACAAGAUAAUUAUGUCUUCUCAAAAUAACAUGGCCAAAGAAAGCUUAUCCCUACAAAAUCAUAUAGUCUGGCUAUACUCCAUCUUCAUCACACAAAAUAUUUAAAUCAUGCACAACCCUGAUGACAAGCCAAGCAAUUGUUUCAUACUUUUGAUGUUCUCAAACUUUUUCAACUUUCACGCAAUACAUGAGCGUGAGCAUGGACAUAGCACUAUAGGUGGAAUAGACGGUGGUUGUGGAGAAGACAAAAAGAAGGAGAUAGUCUCACAUCAACUAGGCAUAUCAACGGGCUAUGGAGAUGCCCAUUAAUAGAUAUCAAUGUGAGUGAGUACGGAUUGCAAUGCAACGGAUGCACUAGAGCUAUAAGUUUAUGAAAGCUCAAAAAGAAACUAAGUGGGUGUGCAUCCAACUUGCUUGCUCAUGAAGACCUAGGGCAAUGUGAGGAAGACCAUCAUUGGAAUAUACAAGCCAAGUUCUAUAAUGAAAAAUUCCCACUAGUAUAUGAAAGUGAAAAUAUAGGAGACUCUCUAUCAUGAAUAUCAUGGUGCUACUUUGAAGCACAAGUGUGGUAAAAGGAUAGUAGCAUUGCCCCUUCUCUCUUUUCUCUCAUUUUUUUAUUUGGGCCUUCUCUCAUUUUUGGGCCUCUUUUUUUUCGUUCGAAAUCUCACCCCGACUUGUGGGGGAAUCAUAGUCUCCAUCAUCCUUUCCUCACAUAGGACAAUGCUCUAAUAAUGAAGAUCAUCACACUUUUAUUUACUUACAACUCAAGAAUUACAACUCGAUACUUAGAACAAAAUAUGAAUCUAUGUGGAUGCCUCCGCCGGUGUACCGGGAUGUGCAAUGAAUCAAGAGUGACAUGUAUGAAAGAAUUAUGAACGGUGGCUUUGCCACAAAUACGAUGUCAACUACAUGAUCAUGCAAAGCAAUAUGACAAUGAUGGAGCGUGUCAUAAUAAAUAAAACGGUGGAAAGUUGCAUGGCACUAUAUCUAGGAAUGGCUAUGGAAAUGCCAUAAUAGGUAGGUAUGGUGGCUGUUUUGAGGAAGGUAUAUGGUGGGUGUAUGGUACCGACGAAAGUUGCGCGGCACAAGAGAGGCUAGCAAUGGUGGAAGGGUGAGAGUGCGUAUAAUCCAUGGACUCAACAUUAGUCAUAAAGAAAUCAUAUACUUAUUGCAAAAAUCUAUUAGUUAUCGAAACGAAGUAUUACUCGCAUGCUCCUAGGGGGAUAGAUUGGUAGGAAAAGACCAUCGCUCGUCCCCGACCGCCACUCAUAAGGAAGACAAUCAAUAAAAAAAUCAUGCUCCGACUUCAUCACAUAACGGUUCACCAUACGUGCAUGCUAGAGGAAUCACAAACUUUAACACAAGUAUUUCUCAAGUUCACAACUACUCACUAGCAUGACUCUAAUCUCACCAUCUUCAUAUCACAAAACAAUCAUAAGGAAUCAAACUUCUCUUUGUAUUCAAUGCACUUUAUAUGAAAGUUUUUUAUUAUAUCCCUCUCGGAUGCCUAUCAUAUUAGGACUAAAUUUAUAACCAAAGCAAAUUACCAUGCUAUUUAGAGACUCUCAAAAUAAUAUAAGUGAAACACGAGAGUUCAUCAAUUUCUAUAAAAUAAAACUACCACCGUGCUCUAAAAAUAUAUAAGUGAAGCACUAGAGCAAUAUUGCCUAGCUCAAAAGAUAUAAGUGAAGCACAAAAGAGCAUUCUAAUAAAUCACGAUUCAUGUGUGUCUCUCUCAAAAGGUGUGUACAGCAAGGAUGAUUGUGGCAAACUAAAAAGCAAAGACUCCGCUCCAAGAAAAACACAUAUCAUGUGGUGAAUAAAAAUAUAGCCUCAAGUAAAGUUACCGAUAGACGAAGACGAAAGAGGGGAUGCCUUCCCGGGGCAUCCCCAAGCUUAGGCUCUUGGUAUCCUUGGAUAUUACCUUGCGGUGCCUUGGGCAUCCCCAAGCUUAGGUUCUUGCCACUCCUUAUUCCAUAGUCCAUCAAAUCCUUACCCAAAACUUGAAAACUUCACAACACAAAACUCAACAGAAAAUCUCGUAAGCUCCGUUAGUAUAAGAAAAUAAAUCACCACUUUUGGUACUGUUGUGAACUCAUUCUUUAUUUAUAUUGGUGUAUAUCUACCGUAUUCCAACUUUUCCAUGGUUCAUACCCCCCGAUACUAGCCAUAUAUUCAUCAAAAUAAGCAAACAACACAUAGAAAACAGAAUCUGUCAAAAACAGAAUAGUCUAUAGCAAUCUGGAUAUUUCGAAUACUUAUGUAACUCCAAAAAUUCUGAAAAAUUAGGAUGACCUAAGAAUUUUCUUUAUUAAUCUUCUUCUAAAAGAAUCAGUAUUUUAUCAGGCUUCUGUGAUUUUUAACAAUUCUGGGACUGAGCGCAAAAGUUUCUGUUUUUCAGCAAGAUCAAAUCAACUAUCACCGUAAGCUAUCCCAAAGGUCUUACUUGGCACAAACACUAAUUAAAACACAAAACCACAUCUAACCAGAGCUAGAUGAAUUAUUUAUUGCAAAACAGCAAGGAUAAAUAUUGGGUUGUCUCCCAACAAGCGCUUUUCUUUAAAGCCUUUUUAGCUAGGCAUUGAUAAUUUCGAUGAUGCUCACAUGAAAGAUAGCAAUUGAAACAUAAAGAGAGCAUCAUAAAACAUGUGAAAAACACAUCUAAUUCUAACAUACUUCCUAUGCAUAGGCAUAUUAUAGGCAAACAAAUUAUCAAGACAAGCAAAAACCACCAUAUGCAAGGAAGAAGAAAGAAAGAAUAGCAAUCUCAACAUAACAAGAGGUAAUUUUGUAACAUGAAGAUUUCUACAACCAUAUUUUUCUCUCUCAUAAUAAUUACAUGUGGAAUCGUAUUCAAACUCAACAAUAUAACUAUCACAUAAAAUAUUCUCUUUAUGAACCACAUGCAUGCAAAGUUGACACUCUUCCAAAAUAGUGGGAUUAUCAUAAAAUAAAGUCAUGACCUCUCCGAACCCACUUUCAAUAUUAUUGCAAACAUUAUUAUCAAUAUCAUAUUCAUCAUGGGGCUUAAAUAAAUUUUCAAGAUCAUAAGAAGAAUCACCCCAAUCAUGACCAUUGCAACAAGUAGUAGACAUAGCAAUCUUAGCAUCCCCAAGCUUAGGGUUUUGCAUAUCAUUAACACAAUUGACAUUAAUAGAAUUUAUAAUAACAUCAUUGCAAUCAUGCUUUUUAUUCAAAGAUCUAUCAUGAAUCACUUCAUAAAGCACUUCAUCACAAUUUUCAGAUUCAUGGAUUUCAAGCAAAACCUCAUAAAGAUAAUCUAGUGCACUCAAAUCACUAGGAAUUGGUUCAUCAUAAUUGGAUCUCUUUAAAAGAUUAGCAAGUGGAUGAGGAUCCAUAAACUUUUAGCAAGCGAAGAUGCAAGUAAAAAGAAGGCACAUGGUAACACAAGCAAACAAAAGAUCGAACGGAAGAGGGGCGAAGAAAAGGAAAAUCUUUUCAAAAAUCAUUUUAGAAGUAGGGGAGAGGAAAACAAGAGGCGAAUGGCAAAUAAUGUAAUGCGAGAGAUGAGAGUUUAUGAUGGGUACUUGGUACGUCUUGGCUUGGCGUAGAUCUCCCCGGCAACGGCGCCAGAAAUCUUCCUGCUACUUCUUGAGCUUGCGUUGGUUUUUCCCUUGAAGAGGAAAGGGUGAUGCAACAAAGUAGAGUAAGUAUUUCCCUCAGCUUUUGAGUACCAAGGUAUCAAUCCAGUAGGAGACAACGCGCAAGUCACCGAAUACCUGCACAAACAAACACCAACUUGCACCCAACGCGAUAAAGGGGUUGUCAAUCCCUUCACGGUUAUUGCAAAGUGAGAUCUGAUAGAUAUGGAUAAACGGUAAAGUAAUAUUUUUGGUAUUUUUGGUUUAUGGAACGGAAAGUAAAAGAUUGCAAAGGAAGUAAAUCGGAAAAUAAAAUUGUAGAUCGGAAACUUAUAUGAUGGAAAAUAGACCCGGGGCCAUAGGUUUCACUAAAGGCUUCUCUCAAGAUAGAAAAUAUUACGGUGGGUGAACAAAUUACUACCGAGCAAUUGAUAGAAAAGCGCAAAGUUAUGACGAUAUCUAAGGCAAUGAUCAUGAAUAUAGGCAGCACGUCCGCAUCAAGUAGACUGACUCUUGCCUGCAUAUACUACUAUUACUUCACACAUCGACCGACUCAUGCCUGCAUCUAGAGUAUUAAGUUCAUAGAACAGAGUAACACAUUAAGUAAGAUGACAUGAUGUAGCGGGAUAGACUCAAGCAAUAUGAUGAAAACCCCAUCUUGUUAUCCUCGAUGGCAACAAUACAAUACUUGUCGGUUCCCCUUCAGUCACUAGGAUCGAGCACCACAAGAUUGAACCCAAAGCUAAGCACUUCUCCCAUUGCAAGAAAAACCAAUCUAGUUGGCCAAACCAAAUCGAUAGUUUGAAGAGACUUGCAAAGAUAUCAAAUCAUGCAUAUAAGAAUUCAGAGAAGGUUCAAAUAAUUUUCAUAUAUAAGCUGAUCAUAAAUCCACAAUUCAUCGGAUCUCGGCAAACACACCAGAAAAGAGUAUUACAUCGGAUAGAUCUCGAAGAACAUCGAGGAGAACAUGGUAUUGAGAAUCAAAGAGAGAGAAUAAGCCAUCUAGCUACUAGCUAUGGACCCGUAGGUCUGAGGUAAACUAUGCACGCUUCAUCAGAGAGGCAAUGAUGUUGAUGUAAAAGCCCUCCGUGAUCGAAUCCCCCUCCGGCAGGACGCCGGAAAAGGCCCCUAGAUGGGAUCUCACGGGUACAGAAGGUUGCGGCGGUGGAAAAGUGGUUUCGUGGCUCUCCUGGUAGGUUUUGGAAUAUUUGAGAAUAUAUAGGUGGAAGAAAUAGGUCGGUGGAGUCACGAGGGGCCCACAAGGGUGGGGGGCGCGCCCUACCCCCGGGCGCGCCCUCCGUCCUCGUGGGUGACUCGUGGCUUCCCUGGCGUGUACUCCAAGUCCUCUGGAUGUCUUCUGUUCCAAGAAAAAUCAUCGGGAAAGUUUCAUUCCGUUUGGAUUCCGUUUGGUAUUCCUUUUCUGGGAAACUCUAAAACAAGGAAAAAACAGAAAAUGGCAUUGGGCUCUAGGUUAAUUGGUUAGCCCAAAAAUAAUAUAAAAUAGCAUAUUAAUGCAUAUAAAACAUCCAAAAUAGAUAAUAUAAUAGCAUGGAACAAUCAAAAAUUAUAGAUACGUUGGAGACGUAUCAAUCACGUCCGUGUCAAGUAGACCGAAACAAUUCUGCAUCUACUGCUACUAGUUGGCUGCCCGUGCGUUGCCACGGAAUAAAAAUAUGUUUUUAGAUGGAAUACAUAUGUUUUUUAAGAAUAAAAUAUGUGUUGCUACUUUUGAAAUGAUGAUGUUUGUAGGAUAAUUGCAACCAACAAAGGUGUUCGACAGCAGUUUCUUCAAUUCGUGAAUGCAAGCGUCAUACAAAUGUCGUCUUUAGAUUAAGACUCAAUCAGAAACAGUAAUUUCCUCAUUUCAUAUUCUCACAACUCUUUUUAUUUAAGUCAUGCGUCUCCUCAAUCAUUUAUCUCCAGUACUGGAUCUUCUUCAACUCAAGUAUUUUCAUAUACCCCAUAUUGAACACUCAACGUAAGGCCGGAAUAACCACCUUCUCCAUCUUCUCUUCUGCCUCCUACUCCACAUGCACCACCCCACAUUGCUGCAGUUGAAAUGGAAGAUGGUCAAAAAGUUGUCUUGAUUAGAUCCACCUGAGCAACUUGAAGUCUUGAACCACAAUGGAUCCACCCGAGCAACUUUGAUAUAUUUGCUUUGCAGCUGUCAUGUAUCCUGAUUUUGGACCUGAGCUGUACUGUAAUUAGAAGCAUGUAUCAUCUAACAAAAUGCCAAUAAAUCACAAAGUAAAAACUAAAUUCUAGAAGAAAUAUAAUUGGGGAAGUGAUUAAAAGAUAAAGACUACUAUUCUAGUUACAUUGCAUUGUGUACGGAAAGCUUAAGCUAUUUGAUCUUCGACAUUGAUUGGAGCAAAGAGCCUCUGUCACAUACUAAUUACUAAGCCAUCUGAUCCAUGACUGUGAUUCAAAAUUACAAAUACUGGAAGCACUAUUACCCUUGCAGCUUAGCAGGAUGAACAUCAUGAAGUAAUUUUGUACAAAAAAAGACACCAAAUAGACAAUGUCACUAAGGGGAAACAUUAGUACUAAGAAGGCAAUCGACACAAGACGGGGGAAUGGAUUUAGACCUCGCUGGAACUAAACAACCUGACGAGGCAACGUUGAAGGUCGAUCCCUCUUUCGACUUAAAUAUGCAACCAUGUUAGGCGUGUAGGAAACUGGGAACUCGCCAAAACAUAUAUUUUUCCGUUGCUUAGAACUGAUGUUUGCAUCUGCAUGAAAAUUAGUGUUUUGCUCAUGCAUGUUUGUUCAAAUGUCUGCAAGACGUCUUUCUACCAUCUCUAUAAAUAUUGUUACUGUGUGAGAGGGAGAGAUGUUUUCUGUUCUCAUGUGUAUUCUUCCUCCAAAUAUAAAUAUGUUCUCCGUCCAAAUGAGAUGCAUCAGGUAAUUUACUCGUUUUAGUUGCUACAUUAACAAUAUACAGCAAGAGUAAUUCCUACAUUGGUCUACAUUUUCUAAUUGAUCCCAAUCGCCAAUCCAGAUCAAGCGACAAAAAAUACAGAAAGGAGAGCGGGAUUUAGGAUUGAGAAAUACAGUGUCCUGCUGCUAGACAGCCCGGCCUCGUGCUUGCUUCUUCACAUCCAUGACCUGCAGGCUGCAGCGCGCCAACGCUGCUGGCUUCUGCACCACCAAACCUAGGAGAGAACCUGCAUCUGAACAAACAAAACUACGGACAUGUCGGGAAUCUGCAUGAGUCGAUAUGAAGGGACGGGAACACCAAUGAGGAGAAUAGAAAAAAAACACUAUUUCUACACGCUUUCAACGGCGGCGGCGGUGGUGAACUGGUGAUUCCUACUGAAUCAGUGUCAAAGCAAUGAUGAGUCCCUUCACACGAACUGUUUAAUGCUGCCACAUAGGCCGGUGCUAAGGAUUCUUCAUCCAUGGACUUGCUUCGCUAUUCUCCAAUGGCAUGCCACACAUCAUGCACCGGUUCCGAUCGAUGGUCUCCUUGCCUGUAUGAUGAAAAGAGACCUGAUCAUCAUAGAAGGAGGAGUGGCAGUGAGAAACAGGAGGAGGUCAUGGGAGGAACGACAAGGGAAGGCGCAAACCGUCAUCGGUAGCCAUCCUCAGAGUCCUCACCGGCGGCAGGUGGAGAGGAGGCGACGGCUGCGCUGCGCUCAUACCACUCUGUGCAGGCGCUGUACUGAUCCCGGCCCUGGCGCAUCGCGGGCAUGGCGAAAGUCCCAUGGACUGGACGAGACGAGAGACAAUCGACGGCGACUGGAAGACCGCAGGGCGGAACCUGAAGCAGGGAGAUUUCUCUCGGCCUCUCGGGGCGAGGGCGUCGGGGAUUGGAUCGUCGGGUUGUGUGCUCGUGGUUUCCUUUUCAUUUUCCCUCUGUUUCUUUUUCUCUCUCGCCCUAUUUCGUUACGCGGGGAGGAGGUCGGACGAAGGGAGGAGAUGGUCGUACGAGGCGGGGGAUGGAACGUGGUGGUCGAACCACAAGGGGAGGUCGAACCAUCACGACGUUCGAUCCCCUUUAAUAGUAGAGAUUACUCCACACAUCGACCGCUAUCCAACAUGCAUCUAGAGUAUUAAGUUCAUAAAGAACGGAGUAACGCAUUGAUACGUCUCCAACGUAUCUAUAAUUUUUGAUUGUUCCAUGCUGUUAUAUUAUCAUUCUUCGAUGUUUUACAAUCAUUUUAUAGUCAUUUUAUAUCAUUUUUUGGUACUAACCUAUUGACAUAGUGCCCAGUGCCAGUUGCUGUUUUCUGCAUGUUUUUUACAUCGCAGGAAAUCAAUACCAAACGGAGUCCAAACGCAGCGAAACUUUUUGUGGAUUUUUUUGNNNNNNNNNNNNNNNNNNNNNNNNNNNNNNNNNNNNNNNNNNNNNNNNNNNNNNNNNNNNNNNNNNNNNNNNNNNNNNNNNNNNNNNNNNNNNNNNNNNNNNNNNNNNNNGGGUGCCCCGAGAGGGGCACAACCCACCAGGGCGCGCCUGGUCCUCUAGGCGCGCCCAGGUGGGUUGUGCCCACCUCGGUGGCCUCCCGCACCGCCUCUUUGCUCUAUAAAUAGUCCAAUAUUCCAGAAACCCUAGGGGAGUAGACGAAAAUCAAUUCCAGCUGCCGCAAGUUCCAGAACCACCAGAUCCAAUCUAGACACCAUCACGGAGGGGUUCAUCAUAUCCAUUGGUGCCUCCCCGAUGAUGCGUGAGUAGUUCUUUGUAGACCUACGGGUCCGUAGUUAGUAGCUAGAUGGCUUCCUCUCUCUCUUUUGAUUCUCAAUACAAUGGUCUCUUGGAGAUCCAUAUGAUGUAACUCUUUUUUGCAAUGUGUUUGUUGGGAUCCGAUGAACUUUUAGUUUAUGAUCAGAUCUAUCUUUUUAUCCAUGAAAGUUAUUUGAGUCUUUUUUGAUCUCUUAUAUGCAUGAUUGCUUAUAGCCUCGUAUUUCUUCUCCGAUAUUUGGGUUUUGUUUGGCCAACUUGAUCUAUUUAUCUUGCAAUGGGAAGAGGUGCUUUGUAAUGGGUUCGAUCUUACGGUGCUUGAUCCCAGUGACAGAAAGGGAACCGACACGUAUGUAUCGUUGCUAUUAAGGAUAACAAGAUGGGGUAUAUUUCUACAUAAAUAGAUCUUGUCUACAUCAUGUCAUCGUUCUUAUUGCAUUACUCCGUUUCUCCAUGAACUUAAUACACUAGACGCAUGCUGGAUAGCGGUCGAUGUGUGGAGUAAUAGUAGUAGAUGCAGGCAGGAGUCGGUCUACUAAUCUUGGACGUGAUGCCAUAUAAUGAUCAUUGCCUGGAUAUUGUCAUGAUUAUUUGAAGUUCUAUCAAUUGCCCAACAGUAAUUUGUUCACCCAUCGUUUGCUAUUUUUCUCGAGAGAAGCCACUAGUGAAAUCUACGCCCCCCGGGUCUCUUCUUUAUUAUAUUUGCCUUGCGAUCUAAUUUUAUUUGCUUUUAUUUUCAGAUCUAUUAAACCAAAAAUACAAAAAUACCUUGCUGCACUUUAUUUUAUUUCCGAUCUAUUUAUCCAACCUAUUACAACUUUACCCCGUCCUUUUGCCAAUUUCUGGCGCCUUUAGCCGAAAGGGAUUGACAACCCCUUUAAUACGUUGGGUUGUGAGUAUUCGUUAUUUGUGUGCAGGUGCUGUUUACGUAGUGUUGCUUGGUUCUCCCACUGGUUCGAUAACCUUGGUCUCAUCACUGAGGGAAAUUCCUACCGUCACUGUACUGCAUCAUCCCUUCCUCUUUGGGGAAAUACCGACGUAGUUCUAGCAGACAUCAAAAGGAAUUUCUGGCGCCGUUGCCGGGGAGAAAUCAUCAACAUCUACCAGGUUCCUAAUCACAAAUCUCAUCUCCUUGCAAUUUACAUUAUUUGCCAUUUGCCUCUCGUUUUCCUGUCCCCAACUUCACAAAAAUUUGACGUUUUAUUCUUCCUCUUUUUCGUUCGCCGUUUUCUUGCCGGAUCUAUUUUUGAGUGCAAUCUUGUUGCGUAGUCACAAUGACUCAAGAGAACACCAAGUUGUGUGAUUUCUCAAAUACCAACAACAAUGAUUUUCUUAGCACUCCGAUUGCUCCUCCCGCCACUAGUGCGGAGACUUGUGAUAUUAAUACCGCUUUGGUGAAUCUUGUUACGAAAGAUCAAUUUUCCGGUACUCAUAAUGAGGAUGCCGCGUCCCAUCUUAACAAAUUCGUGGAAUUAUGCUAUAUGCAAAAGAAAAAAGAUGUGGACAAUGAUGUUGUGAAUUUGAAAGUAUUCCCGUUUUCUUUGCGAGAGCAUGCAAAAAUUUGGUUUUCUUCUUUGCCUCGCAAUAGUAUCGAUUCUUGGAAUAAGUGCAAAGAUGCUUUUAUUACUAAGUAUUUUCUGCCCGUGAAAAUUAUUUCCCUUAGAACCCAGAUCAUGAAUUUCAAGCAACUUGAACAUGAGCAUGUUGCACAAUCUUGGGAAAGGAUGAAAUUGAUGCUAAGGAAUUGCCCAACUCAUGGGUUAAAUCUUUGGAUGAUCAUACAAUUUUGUUACGCGGGGUUAAAUUUUGUUUCUCGUAAUCUUUUAGAUUCCGCCGCGGGUGGUACUUUUAUGGAAAUUACAUUGGGUGAAGCCACCAAAUUGGUUGAUAAUAUCAUGGCAAAUUAUUCACAAUGGCAUACCGAAAGAGCUCCUACUAGUAAAAAAGUCAAUACGGUUGAAGAAAUCUCUUCUUUGAGUGAAAAAGUUGGUUGCUAAUAAAAGUGCUCCUAUUGAUUUUAAUGAUGUGCCUUUGUCUACUUUGAUUGAGCAAAAUAGUGAUGCCGUAGAUGUGAAUUUUAUCUCGCGAAACAAUUUCAAUAACAAUGCUUAUAGAGGUAAUUUUAAUCCUAGGCCUUUUCCUAGUAAUUCCUAUGGUAAUCCUUCUUAUAAUAAUAAUAGGAACACCUCUGAUCUUGAGAAUAAUAUUAAAUAAUUUAUCAAUACUCAAAAAGUUUUCAAUGCUACAAUGGAAGAAAAGUUGAAUAAGAUUGAUGAUUUGUCUAGACGUGUUGAUAGAAUUUCUCAUGAUGUGGAAAAUCUCAAGAUGAAAAUUUUUGUGCCUAAGGUAGAGGAAUCAAUUAAAGCUCUUUAUGUUUCUAUGGAUGAAAGUAAGAAAAGAACCGCUAUGCUUAGAGCUAGAAGAUAAUUUUUAGAAAAAGCGUUUUCUAGUGAUUGCUUUCAUAAAAGUGAUGAAGAUCUUACAAUGAUUGAUGUCACACUAUAAUGUUUGGACCAAGCACGGAGAAAGAGGGGUUAUGAUGGAAGACAACAAAGAAGAAUAGGAUGAUGACAACUAUGUGCCCCCUGAAUACGGUGAUGCUGCAACGGGGGAAGCUGAAGAUCAAGAGGAACCAGACGAUGUGCCCGAUGAUGAUCUUCGCCGGGUCAUUGUUGAUGCAAAGAGACAGUGCGAAAGUGAAAAGGAGAAGCUGAAGUUUGAUCGCAUGUUAGAGGAUCACAAGAAAGGGUUGUACCCCAAUUGCGAAGAUGGCAACACAAAGCUCGGUACCGUACUGGAAUUGCUGCAGUGGAAGGCAGAGAAUGGUGUACCUGACAAAGGAUUUGAGAAGCUACUGAAAAUAUUGAAGAAGAAGCUUCCAAAGGAUAACGAAUUGCCCGACUGUAUGUACGCAACAAAGAAGGUUGUAUGCCCUCUAGGAUUGGAGGUGCAGAAGAUACAUGCAUGCCCUAAUGGUUGCAUCCUCUACCGCGGUGCAUACGAGGAUUUGAACACGUGCCCGGUAUGUGGUGCAUUGCGGUAUAAGAUCAGAUGAGAUGACCCUGGUGAUGUUGACGGUGAGCGCCCCAAGAAGAGGGUUCCUGCCAAGGUGAUGUGGUAUGCUCCUAUAAUACCACGGUUGAAAUGUCUAUUCAGAAACAAAGAGCAUGCCAAGUUGAUGCGAUGGCACAGAGAGGACUGUAAGAAAGACGGGAAGUUGAGAGCACCCGCUAACGGGUCGUAGUGGAGAAAAAUCGAGAGAAGGUACUGGGAGGACUUUGCAGGUGACGCAAGGAAUGUAUGGUUUGGUUUAAGCACGGAUGGCAUUAAUCCUUUUGGGGAACAGAGCAGCAAUCACAACACCUGGCCCGUGACUCUAUGUAUGUAUAACCUUCCUCCUUGGCUGUGCAUGAAGCAGAAGUUAAUUAUGAUGCCAGUUCUCAUCCAAGGCCCUAAGCAACCCAGCAACGACAUUGAUGUGUACCUAAGGCCAUUAGUUGAAGAACUUUUACAGCUGUGGAAUGGAAACGGUGUACAUGUGUGGGAUGAGCACAAACAGUAGAAUUUGACAUGCAUGCGUUGCUGUUUGUAACCAUCAAUGAUUGGCCUGCUCUCAGUAACCUUUCAGGACAGACAAACAAGGGAUACCACACAUGCACGCACUUUUUAGAUGACACCGAAAGUAUAUACCUGGACAAAUGCUGGAAGAAUGUGUACCUGGGUCAUCGUCGAUUUCUUCUGACCAACCAUCAAUGUCGAAAGAAAGGCAAGCAUUUCAAAGGCGAGGCAGAUCACCGGAAGAAGCCCGCCAUCCAUACCGGUGAUCACAUACUUGCUAUGGUCAAUGAUUUACAGGUAAUCUUUGGAAAGGGUCCCGGUGAUCUGUUCCGAAUGACGCUGAGGGACGCGCACCCAUGUGGAAGAAGAAAUCUAUAUUUUGGGACCUACCCUACUGGAGAGACCUAGAGGUCCGCUCUUCAAUCAACGUGAUGCACGUGACGAAGAAUCUUUGCGUGAACCUGCUAGGCUUCUUGGGCUUGUAUGGGAAGACAAAAGAUACACCGGAGGCACGGGAGGACCAGCAACGUGUGCACGAAAAAGACGACAUGCCUCCAAACUAGUAUGAAGGUCCUGCAAGCUACACUCUUACCAAAGAAGAGAAGGAUUCUUCUUUGAAUGCCUUCUCAGUAUGAAGGUCCCGUCUGGCUUCUUGUCGAAUAUAAAGGGAAGAAUAAAUAUGCUAGAGAAAAAGUUCCAGAACCUAAAGUCUCAUGACUGCCACGUGAUUAUGACGCAACUACUUCCGGUUGCAUUGAGGGGGCUUCUAUCGGAAAAUGUUUGAUUAGCCGUUGUGAAGCUAUGUGCAUUCCUCAAUGCAAUCUCUCAGAAGGUGAUCGAUCCAUAAAUCCUACCAAGGUUAAGGACUGAUGUGGCGCAAUGUCUUGCCAGUUUCGAGCUGGUGUUCCCACCAUCCUUCUUCAAUAUCAUGACGCACGUCUUAGUUCAUCUAGUCGACGAGAUUGUCGUUCUGGGCCCUGUAUUUCUACACAAUAUGUUCCCCUUUGAGAGGUUCAUGGGAGUCCUAAAUAAAUAGGCCCAUAACUGCGCUAGGCCAAAAGGAAGCAUCUCCAUGGGCCAUCAAACAGAGGAUGUCACUGCGUUUUGUGUUGACUUCAUUCCUGACCCUAAGAAGAUUGGUCUCCCUUAAUCGUGCUAUGAGGGGAGACUGACUGGAAAAGGCACGCUAGGAGGGGACUCAAUAAUAUGUAGGGACAUGCAUUCUUGGUCUCAAGCACACUACACAGUUCUACAGAACUCUACCUUGGUGACCGCAUAUGUCGAUGAACACAAGAACAUUCUACACUCCAAACACCCGGAGCAGUGUGACGACUGGAUUACAUGUGAACACAUCAGGACUUUCGGCAGUUGGUUGAAACACAUCUCAGGGGUGACACUAUUGUUUCUGAUGAGUAGUACUCGUUGGCCAGGGGACCAUCUUCGACUGUAUUGACUUACAAAGGGUACGAGAUAAAUGGGAAUACAUUUUACACGAUCGCCCAAGAUCAAAAGAUCACCAACCAAAACAGUGGUGUCCGCUUUGAUGCAGCAACCAAGAGGGGAAAGGACACAUAUUAUAGUUACUAGUGGACAUAUGGGAACUUGACGACGGACAUGAUUUUAAGGUCCUUUUGUUUCAGUGCAAAUGGGUCAAUCUGUCAGGAGGCGGGGUACAGGUAGACCCACAGUACGGAAUGACAACAGUGGAUCUGAACAAUCUUGGGUACACAGACGAACCAUUCGUCCUAGCCAAUGAUGUGGCAUAGGUUCUCUAUGUGAAGGAAAUGUCUACCAAACCGAGAAAAAGAAAAGAUAAGGAAGCGAAUACAUCAUACGAUGAGCCAAAGCGCCACAUAGUUCUUUCAGGAAAAAGAGACAUCGUGGGAUUGGAGGGCAAGACAGACAUGUCUGAAGAUUAUGAAAAGUUUCAUGAAAUUCCUCCCUUCAAAGUCAAGGCUGACCCAAGCACCCCGUAAAACGAUGAAGAUUAUCCAUGGUUACGACGCAAUAAGCAAAGGACACAAGCGAAGAAAAAGUGAAGACUUUCUCUCCACAACUAUUAUGAUGAUUCCUUUGAUCUAGAAUAUCACUGCAGUUACAUGUGAAGAAAUGAAAUGCCUUUUGUAACAGAUGAGUUUCCGUAUGAAACCUUGCUACUUCGAAAGAGAUUGUCCAUUUUGUACACGAAGUGCAUCCAUUUUUGCCGUAACCCUCUCAACUUUUUAGCACAUCCUAUGUGGGUGAAAUGAUGAUACCGUGCCAACUUUCAACCUUUUCAGAGUUCAUUUGUAGUGCUUUUCAAUUUCAGGGUCAUUUAGCUUACAAAAAUCAGUAAAUGCAUGAAAAAUACCAGAUGAAGUCAGAAAGGGUUGAAAAUUGAUGAUGUGGCUAUGAAUGGUUCAAUUUGAACACACAAAAAGUCUGGAGUUCAAAUAAGUUCAAAAAAAAGAAAUCCCUUUGUAACAGAUGAGUUUUCGUUCGAAACCCUGAUACUUCGAAAGAGAUUAUCCAUUUUGUACACGAAGUGCAUCCAGUUUUUGCCGUAACCCUCUCAACUUUUUAGCACAUGCUAUGUGGGUGAAAUGAUGAUACCAUGCCAACUUUCAACCUUUUCAGAAUUCAUUUGUAGUGUUUUUCAAUUUCAGGGUCAUAUAGCUAAAAAAAUCAGUAAAUGCAUGAAAAAUAACAAAUGAAGUCAAAAAGGGUUGAAAAUUGAUGAUGUGGCUGCGAAUGGUGCAUUUUGAACACACAAAAAGUCUGGAGUUCAAAUAAGUUCAAAAAAAAGAAAUCCCUUUGUAACAGAUGAGUUUUCGUCCGAAACCCUGAUACUUCGAAAGAGAUUGUCCAUUUUGUACAAGAAGGGCAUCCAGUUUUUGCCAUAACCCUCUCAACUUUUUAGCACAUGCUAUGUGGGUGAAAUGAUGAUACCAUGCCAAAUUUCAACCUCUUUAGAGUUCAUUUGAAGUGCUUUUCAAUUUCAGGGUCAUUUAGCUCAAAGAAUGAACUAAUAGCAAAAAGAAUGAACUAGAAAACUUUUAUGAAACUCUAAUAGCAAAGAUAAUGAACUAAAAGAAUGAACUAGAAAACUUUAAUGAAACUCUAAUAGCAAAAAGAAUGAACUAGAAAACUUUAAUGAAACUCUAAUAGCAAAAGGAAUCAACUAAAAAGCUUUUUUAAACCUAUAGUAUUUUUGAAACUAAAAUUAUAUAAAUUUUAUGCAACUAAAAUUAUCAAAGUAUUUUUUGUUCAAAACAUUAAUAGCAAAAGAUUUUUCAUAAAGAAUUUUUUGUUUGAAACUUUAAUAGCAAACUAAAAUAGCAAAAUCUGUUUUUGAUCAAAAGAGACAUUUCAAAUAACCUAAAAAUUACCAAAUUGAAUAUAACUACAAAACACAGUAAUGUUAAAUAGCAGGAAAAAGACUCACUCAAAAAUCUAUUUUAUAGUAAAGUUAUUCACAAACUAGUGAUUCACACAAAUUUCAAAAAAUUCAAAUUUAAACUAUUCAAAUUGGAAAACUAAUGGCACUAGCAGAAAGUUUAUAAUUUUUAUUACCUAAAAGCAAAAAGCAUCACUGAAAAACAGUAAGUAUUUUGCUAAGUAGAAACAAAAUAAAAUAAAUAAAGCAAAAAAGAAAAAAAUCUGGAAAAAAAAUAAAAAAUGCCACCUACUGGGCCACCACGGCCUGAAUACGACUAGAAACCCAACCAUGGGCCCGGAUUCUGGCCCGCAGCAGGCCCAUUAGGCCCACAUGCAAGGAGUGACUGAUUAGGCCCGAAAGCCUGCUGUUGAGAGGAGCUCGAGAGGGUGGGUGCAACAACGCUUAUAAACCACUCUCAAGCUCUCUCAACUAGCGAGGCGGGACUAAACAUCCCACUGCACCGCGCCAGCACAAGGCCUUUGGUCCCGGUUGGUAGCACCAACCCGGACGAAAGGGGUGCAUUGGUACCGGUUCGUGGCACCAACCGGGACCAAUGCCCCCUUUAGUCCCGGUUGCUGCCACCAACCGGGACCAAAGGUCCCUGUUUCCCACCCUUUGGGCUGCUGAAAACUGAGCUUUGGUCCCGGUUGGUGGCACCAACCGGGACUAAAGGGGGUCAUUGGUCCUGGUUGGUGCCACGAACCGGGACCAAUGCUUUGUGUAUAUAAGCAACACUUAGCAGUUUUCUUCUCAGUUGCUUCGAUCGAUCUCCUCGUCCUCUCCUUUGACGACGCCGCCAGGCUGCCCGUGCAUCGCCGCCCCCGAGACCGCUCGGCCUCGUCGCCGGACCUUCUUCGCUGUCGCCGCCCCCGAGCCCGCGCCGCCCCCGAACCUGUGCCGCCCUCGAGCUCGCGUUGCCCCGAGCCCGCAACGCCCCCGAGCCCGCGCCGCCCUCGAGCUCGUGCCGCCAGUGCCGCCCCGGGCUCGCCAUCGUCCCCGAGCCCUCCUCCCCGUGCCCAAUAUGUCCGGCGGCCUCCCCGUGCAUCACCGCCCUCAGUGAGCUCACCCCUCCCCGUGCUCAUGGUUGGCGCCGCUGCGUGCUCUUACCGUCGCCGCCACUGCUCAUAUGCUCUGUUAGAUGGAUAGAUAGAUGGAUUUUCAUAUGCCCGUGCUUUUUUAUUAAUUUUUUAUUAGAUAGAUGGAUCUAAUAGAUAGAUAUAUAGAUGGAUGCAUGUUAGAUGGAUAGAUAGAUAUACGUGCUCUGUUUUUUUAGAUGAGAUGAGGUGAGAUGUAUGAGAUGUCAUGUGGAAAUGUGCUAUGUUUUUUUUAAAGAAUAGAUAGAUGGAUGAAAUGUAAUAUGCAUGAUGUUUCAAAUUUUGAAAUGUGCUAUGUUAUUUUAGAUGUGAUAGAUAGAUGUUUCGUGGAGAUGAUAUGAGAUGGAAGAGAAUUUUUUCAUAGAAAUUAGUGUGAUAUUUUUGUUCAUGAUGAUCUUGCUCGAUGAAUGUUCUAUGUUAAAAUCAUAUUAAGUUUGUUCGAUGAUGAUUUCUUUUGUUCAUAGAAAUUUACUAAGUUAAAAUGUUCUCGUGUUUGGGGGGAGGAGUCCUCGAAACAUAUCAAGUGCACUUUAUAAAUUCAUAUGUUGAGUUAGUUGAUUUAGGUUAGUGCAUUUUAGGUUAGUUGAUUUAGUGUAUUUUAGGUUAGUUGUUGUUAGUGCAUUUUAGGUUAGUGGAGAGGAAAAAUGAAAAUAAGGAAAAAGAAGAAAAGAGGAAGAAGGAAGAAGGAAGAAGAAGAAAAAGAAGUAGAGGAAAAAAGAAAAUAAGAAGAGGAAGAAGGAGGAGAAGAAGGAGAAGAAGAGGAGAGGAAGAAGAGGAGAAAAAAUAAGAAGAGGAAGAAGAAGAAAAAAAAGAGGAGAAGAAGAAGGAAUAGCUUCUUUUUUCUUCUUCUUCUUCCUCUUCUUAUUUUUUAUCUGGAACGAGGGUGUCGAGGAUCGCCGAGCGGUCGAGGGUCAGGAACUAGGGGGUAGAGGGUCUAGGGUCGCCGAGGGGUCAAGGGUCGAGGGUCGUCGAGGGGUCGAGGGUCGAGAUUUAUCAGAAAUGCCCCCAUUAUGGAUGUGCACAAGUUGAUCCAAUUUUUUUUCUUCUGAUCUCAUCUAUAUAUAUUCUUCUAUAUGUCACGUUGUCUGUCAAAGUAUUGAAGAAAUUCAUGGCUACAUCAUUAGCAGGAAGUAACAGGCGUAUGAUGCUACGAUGCUCUUCAAAGUUGUUUCGGAACGCAGUUCCGGAUAGAAUAACUCGCUUUUUUGUACGAAUUUCAGCAAAGGCCUUUCAAAUAGCGAUAUUCGGAACGCUCUUGCUGAACUUUGUACCAAAAAGCUAAUUAUCCUAUCCGGGACGUCGUACCAAAAUAAUUUUGGAGAGCUUCGUACCGUUAUGCGCCUGUUACUUCCGGCUAAUGAUGAAGCCAUGGUUUUCUUGAAUCCUUUGACACUAGACAAUGUGACAUAUAGAAGGGUAGAUGAGAUCAGGAAAAAUAUGGACCAUUUUCUGCACAUCCAGAAUGGCGCCAUUUUGUCAAAUCCCGUGUUUGACAUUCAUGAGAGAGGCGGUCUGGACGUCGGACAUUCAUGAGAGAACUCCGGUAACUCUUCAACAUGAGGGGGGACGUCGAUCAACCCCCUCUCGCCCGACCAAACCCUAGAACGUCGAGGCCACCCCAAACCCUAGAAGCGUUUCCGAGGCCACCCAAACUUACCAAGUUAAAAGAGCAUUGUUGUCGAGGCCACCCCAAACCCUAGAAGCGUUGUCGAGGCCACCCCAAACUGUAGAAGCAUCGAGGCCACUAAUUAAUAUUCCUUGUUGUGAUUAGCUAGCUAGGUCUAUGUUUGCCACUAAUAUAUCCAUCUCUCAUGUUUGUAUAUUAAUUGCCAUGUUGUAAUAUUUGCAGAAACUAUGGAGCAAUGAGACUUGGAAACAGAAUAGUUGUUGGGGGACAUAAUCCUCAGUGGAGGUGAUGUCUUGUCGCAUCUCAACGACACCGAUGGUCCGGAAGGAGAGGGUGAAGGCUCCGGUGAUCGAACAAUGGAGGAGGAAGGACAUGAUCAUGAUGGCUCCGGUGACCGAAUGCCGGUGGAAGAAGGAGACCAUGAUGAUGGCUCUGGUGACCGUAUGGAGGAGGGAGCUGUUGCAAAGUCCGGCGAGGUAUAUAUAUUAAUUAAUCCUGUGCUGACUAGCUAAUUGAUGCAUUAAUUGUUUUAGUAUGCACAUAUAUUAACUCUUCUUUCUUCUUUUAUAGCCCUCCGGAUCGAUCCAAACUUCGGUAACGAGAUGAGGCCCGAAGAAAAGGUUGCACCAGGAUGAAAGGUUCACGAUCACAGCAAUCUCGGACGAUGGCCAACCGAUUGAACCCAUGCGGACCAAGGAAGCAUUUUCUGCUCAGCGCGGGGCUAUUGUUAGGGACAUGAUCCCGAUCAGCAUCCAGCUAUGGAAGAAGCCUAAGAACGAAGACCCUCAAGUUCCUUAUGUCAACGAUAGACAGAAAGAUGAUCUUUGGACCUCGCUGAAGGCAAAUUUCACCCUACCGCCAGAGGAGGAUCCGAAUAAGCCAAUUAUAGAGCCAUUGGUCAAGGCGUGUGCUCUUAAGAAGAUGGCAGAUCUAUUUAGGAGGUGGAAGAAUGGGUUGAAAUCAACGUAUGUCGACAAAGGGAAGACUCCAGAAUUCACCGGCCGAUUUGAGAAGAUAAGAGAUCACUGGCCCGCAUUUGUGGCCUACAAGACAUCAGACAAGAGUAAGAAGAUGUCAGAGACAAACAAGAUAAAUGCUACAAAGAAGCAGUUUCACCAUCGCACGGGGUCAGGUGGCUACCUCAAAGCCCGUCCGUUGUGGGACAAAGCUGAGAGUGACCUGCUUGCUAAAGGGGUCGAACCAGAGACAUUGAACUGACCAGACCGUUCAAGGACUUGGUUCUUCGGGGUUGGGGGAACCUUGGACCCUGAAACAGGGAAGUGCGUUUGGACGGACGAGCAACUUGCAAUACCCGUCAAGAAGCUUCAGAAGUGUAUUACUGUAGCGCAACAAGGGACGUUCAUUCCCGACAGAGAGAAUGCCGAGCUGACCGAGGCCCUCGGGAAUCCUGAGCACCCUAGACGAACACGAGGCACGCCAGGCUCUGUUGCGUGGAAGGUUGGGUUUCCCGGCGCAGACAGUUACAAAACCCGGGAGAGGAAGAGGAAAUUGGAGCUGAGCGAAAUGCAGAAGCUGAAUGCAAGAGUACAAAAGCUAGAAGAACAAGUUGAGAGCCAGCGAGCUGCUGGAGCUACCCUAGAAGCUACCCCACCAUCUCAGCGGAGAAGCAGCGUGGCUUCCACCGAGCUCGUUCAGCAGCCUGACUUCACGUCUCCUAGCUACCCCAUGGAUGCUAUCACGGAGGCUCAACAUUGCCAGCUUAUGAUGUAAUGGCAGAUACUCAAAGUCAAGGCGGCUGCCGGCUCUGUUGCACCUCCUCAACCCGACGGAACUUUUCACUGCCGUCCGAUUCCACAUGGCUAUGCUGUUGUGAUGGUGGAUGAAGUAACGGAGGGAUUUGAGGAGCUCGAGCUUGACCACCCUACAGGUGAAGGGGAGACUCAGCUGGGUCUUGCUCUGAAGACUCCAUGUCUAUGGCGGAAGGAGCACAUCAAGCUUCCGAACUGGACACCUCCGCCUCCUCCUCCUCCUCCUCCUCCGGCGAGUGAUCAGGGCACUCCACCUCCUUAUCCGGCUGCUCCGGCGCGUGAGGCCGGCACUCCGCCUCCUCCUUCGCCUCCUCCGGCGCGUCCGAGCAGUCCGCCUCCUCCUCCGUCUCGUCAGCAAUGGCGGAAGACAAACGCUGCCGCUUCGGCUGCUCCGGCGCGUCGGAGCACUCCGCCUCGUAAACAACGACGGAAGAGAGACACCGCCACUUCGGCGGCUAGCAGUACAGCUAGAGGCAGGAGGCAAUACACAUACGGUCCAUCUCUCAAGCCUCUAGAUAAGUUACCAUACGAGAGGACCGAUGAGGAAAAUGCAGAGAUCUCUCAAGCCCAAGUGACACUACAGGAAACAGCUACUUUGCCGUCUGCCAUGGCGGACGGCAAAGGCUCGAAAGGCGGACGGCAAAGACCUUUGCCAUCAGCCGCGGACGGCAAAAGGCUCCGGCAAAGAAGGCUACGGUAAACAGCUGCUUUGCCGUCUGCUUCCUGGCGGCGGACGGCAAAGGCUCUUUGCCGUCCGCGGCGGACGGCAAAGAGGGCGGACGGCAAUAAUUGCGCUGUCAGUCCGUUAAGUGGCUAACGGCAGACCUUUGCCGUCCGCCGCAGACGGCAAAGAGCCUUUGGUCUUUGCCGUCCGCCUUAUGAUGUCAUGUACACGUCACUAGAUGGCAGGUUCUUUGCCGUCUGCCACUGAUGGCAAAGUGCAGGUUCUUUGCCGUCUGCCACGGACGGCAAAGUCUUUGCCGUCUGCCACUGUAGGCAAACUGACCAAAUGGGUCAGCUCCCAGGAAGCUCCCAGGAAGCACAGUUGGCUGCCACGUGGCUUCUUUGCCGUCUGCGGCAGACGGCAAAGAGCUCUUUGCCGUCGGUGGCAGACGGCAAAGAGCCUGCAUAUUGUCUGUUUUUUCUGUUUUUUGUUAAAUCCCACAAUUUGCACAGAAAAUAUAUAAGUUUCAUAUCACAUAUCCAGCACAUAAGUUUCAUAUCACAUAUCACAUCCAUCCAUACACAUAGUUCCAUCCAUACACAUAGUUCCAUCCAUAUAUAUAUUACAAUGCAAAGUUUCAUGAACAUAGCAAGUUAGAUGCAAUGAUCCAUAUCACAUAGUUCCAUCCAUCAUAGCAAGCUAGAUACAAUGCAAAGUUUCAUCAACAUAGCAAAGCAAGCACUCCAUCAUAGCAAGCUAGCUUCCAUGAAGUGAAUGAAAUCUGCAAAAUGGUAAAUAAGAAAGUUAGAAAUAGGUGACUAGAACAAGAAGAAGACUAGAACAAGAAGUAUAUGUCAUUUAUGAGCUAACUUAGGUGAAAUGGAUCAUAUAUGAGCUAACUAAGUUGAAAUGGGUUGUUUAUGAUCUAACUUAGUUGAAAUGGAUCAUUUAUGAGCUAACUUAGUUGAAAUGGGUCGUUUAUGAGCUAACUAAGGUGAAGGGCAUCGUUUUUGAGCUAAGUAAGGUGAAAUGGGUCAUUUUGGAGCUAACCUAGGUGAAAUGGGUCAUUUUGGAGCUAAUCUAGGUGAAAUGGGUCAUUUUGGAGCUAACCUAGGUGAAAUGGGUCAUUUUAAAGCUAACGUAGGUAAAAUGGAUCAUUUAGGAGCUCAUCUACGUAAAAUGGGUCAUUUUAGAGCUAAUUUAGUUGAAAUGGAUAUUUUUGAGCUAACUUAGGUGAAAUGGAUCAUUUAAGAGCUAAUUUAGGUGAAAUGGAUCGUUUUUUUAGCUCACUUAGGUCAAAUGGAUCGUUUAUGAGCUAAAUUAGUUGAAAUGGAUCGUUUAUGAGAUAACCUAGGUAAGAUGGGUCAUUUUGGAGUUAACCUAGGUGAAAUGGGCCAUUUUAAAGCUAACGUAGGUAAAAUGGAUCAUUUAGGAGCUAAUCUAGGUAAAAUGGGUCAUUUUUGAGCUAACUUGGAUGAACUGCAUCAUUUAUAAGCUAACCUAGGUAAAAUGGGUCAUUUUGGAGGAAAAUAAGCUAACUCUAGGUCAUUAUGGUAAGCAUAUUGGAGGAAAUAAAGCUAAGUCUAGGUCUUUAUGCAUUUGUUAAGCAAAACACUAGAGAAACUUACCGUGAUCAGGGAGGUGUAGGAGCGGGGUGGCUAGUGCCGCUACCUGGAGAAGGAUCGUGCGAUGCGUUUCUGGAGUUAAGCUGCACCAAAGAUCAUUUCCAAUGUCUCGUUAGCAUUACGACACACAAAUGUUAAGACUACCAAGUAAUGUCCAUUCAAACUAAACUCACCGUGCUCCCAGGAGCAAUCACUGGCAUCGGCGGAGCGGGCUGACCGGACUUCUCGCACACAGACUGCACAUUUGGUUUUCAGAACAGAGUCAUACUAGUUAGUAAUGAGACUCAAAUGUUAAGACUAGGAAGUAAUCUGCAGAAGAAACUUACCACAAGGAGCUCGUACAUGGCCCUUGCCUGCAUGUCAUUCCAUGCCCUCUCCUCCUCCAUCAUCUUUCUCGUCCUCUCCUCCAUCUCCCGCUGCCUCUCCGCCGCCUCCGCCAGAAGUUUCUCCGUUCUAUCUCUCUCAGUCUAUAUAGCAGCCUGCAACACCACUCACAUGACCAUUUGUAAUCAUUGAUGGAAGCGCACACAAUGUAAUGGAGAAAGAUAACUGAGUACGUAUCACUAACCUUGAUGGCGAGUUGCACUGGCCGUUCACGAGGCCUUAUCUCAGGAGCGGAGCUCGACUGGCGCGCCUUGAUCUCCGGGAGAGUGCUAGGACAACGGAUAAGUCCAUUUCCAAUGGCUAUGGAGCCAUGGGACCUCCCGCCACCAGAUAUCAUCACCAGCUCUGGAUCAAUGGGACCCUGGCUCGGGUUAAAGUCCUCCCCUUUCCUCGCCUUCCCCUCAUCUCUAUAUCUCACGAGCUUGUUGUGGGAGGAGAUGUUGGUGAAGUUGUUUGCAUCAUCGAGGUCAGACUGAGAGAAAGCCUUGACUUUCUUGAAAGAGCCAGUGUGGGCCAUGGCAUACAGGUCGUACACCUCUGGCACCUUAUCCGCCUUAUUGUGGCGUGCCUGAAAGAGAGAAACAAUGAAAAUUAGUAAUUAAAGGGCUCAAGCUAGCAUGAUGAAUGAAUUGCAUGAAUCAUGAAGCAAACCACAUACCCAGUUGCGCCCGAACUGAUAUAAGUUGGAGCUGCCUUGAUGGUGUGGCACACCUUCCAUUUGGGCACGUUUGUCCUUGGCCUGGUUGUGGAGGGCUAGCCAUUCUUGUGAGCACCACUCAUCGACCAACACCUCCCAACAAUCCAUCCGAUCCGCACACCAUCUCGGAGGCGCCUAAGUUAGCAAAUAGAAACUUGAGCGCUACGGCUAAGAAUUACUAAAUGAAGGAACUUAAGUAGAAGGCCUUAAGAAUUACCUUCAUGUACUGCUCCUUACUCAGGAACUUAUCGCGGCACGCCGGCUUGGUCUUCUUGAUACCACGCAAGGCGUAGUAGUCUCGAACAGUCUGCACCCGAGCCUCGUGCCGUAAGUUCUGGAGUAGGCGCUUGCAGACGUUCUGGAUAACAUUUGCGCACUCCUCCUCGUAUCCCUCCUCACACCUGUAGAAUGUCUGCAAUCAAAUGAGACAAUAUUGAUUAGUACAAUUAAUAACUAGCUAGUUGAAGAUUUUGAAAUGUGUAAAGGAGAAAUUACCCAGAACGUCCUGAUCACCAUGUCUGCCCUCGUGUCGCACACGACACCGUCGAUAAUGACAUCCGGCGGGGCCGGGGCAGCCACGUAGUGCUCCCAGCUCAACCCAAGCUCUGGAAGCCGACCCUCACCAGGCAACGUGACAAACCCCGGGAAGUUUUGCCGGCAAAGAACUCCAAGGACGGAGUUGGGCCGGCGGACACUAUGAUGGUGGUCCCCUGCAGCAUGACAAGGCCAACGCAUUAGUUAUUUGAAGAAACGUGAAUGCAGAAGGUACAAAAAUAUUAAAUGCACUUACGUACCUCUCCCCAUCAGGGAAGAUCAACCACCUCUGCUCGCGGGUCGCCGGCACGGACAGGAGCCGUGUAGCACCACGCUGGUAGACGGUGCCACCCUCCUCCUCAAGAUCAGUCGGCUCCCCGCCAUCAUCAGCAUGGCCACUCGGCUCCUCGGGCUGAUCCGGCCAGGUACCCCAUCCGGACGUGUGCUCCUCCGGGGUCUCGUGGGCCGAAGGCCAGUCGACCCGAGGCUCGUGGGCCCAAGACCCGUGGACCGGAGGCUCGUGGACCGGAGUCCGUGUAGCCUCCUCCUCGGACGAGUCCACCCUAGCAGUCACGUGCUCGGGUGAAACAGCUGGGGGUGGCGGCGAGGAAGGCGCCCUAGCAGUCACCCUACCUCCUCUCCCGCGACCACGUGCCCCACCUCCUCUCUUCCUACCUCGUCCCCUGCUGGGCACCGCGGUGGACGAAGAAGGGCCCGGCGGUGUGGACAUACUGUCCAGCAACGCUCGGCGAAGAGGUACGUCUGGAAUCGAAGACCUCAGACCACGCGCCGAGGAAGAAGGAGCCUUGGCGCGCUCCCGACCAGCGCCCACCAUCUUUCAACACCUGCCAUGACAAACAGUAAACGAAAUUAGUACAACAUAAAAAAAAGACCGACAUGAAUAAUAAUAUGUGUAUCACUUGAGUGUAUCAUCAUCAAGUACAACAUUAAAAAAUAUAAUACCUGGCACUACUAAUAAUCUCGAUCAGUAUCAUCAAUAAAUGCAUAAUCAUCAUCAUCACUAUAAUCAAUGACGGGCUCAUAGGGUUCAGUGGCAUCAACAUGUGCAAGGCCACCUUGACGUAAUCGGUCAAGCAAUGACAGGUCAUCCGCAGCAGUAACCUCUUCUUGUUCCGGCUCUUCUUGUUCCUCCUCUGGGGUGAUGUCGGAUUCACUGUCACUGUCUACUUCAAUGUUUUGGGGUGAAGUAUAGCGGUUCUUGAAACGCUUUUUGGAAAGACGUGUCUCUUGGAAGAAUUCUCCUUCAUAUGUGUCUGGGUUAAUGUGAGGUUCAUAAUCCUCUUCCUUUGGGGGAGAUAGUCUAGCACGUGGCGGCACUUCAUAAACGACAUCCCAACCUUUCAGAUUUGGAUUAGUUUGGCAAGCCCACGGUAGAUAGAAUACUUGGGUCGCCUGUUGAGCCGUAAUAUAGACAUCAGGAACAUCUAAAUGGGUGCUUUGGUUGAUUUCAACUAGCCCUAUAUGUUCAUGAGUCCUUCUAGUCUCCUUCGGCUGAAACCAAUAACAUUUGAAGACUACGACAUUCGGUGGGUUUUCACCAUAGAAUAGAAGUUCAUAAAUUGCUUCAACUCUCCCAUAAUACUCGGUACCUCCUUCGCCGAUAGCAGAUACACAACAAUCUGUAGACUUUCGGUCGGCCAUAGAUAGCUCUUUGCCAUAGGUACGAAAGCGAUACCCGUUGAUGUCGUAUUUGUCAAAUGAACGGACCUUAUAGUCAAAACCAUUAGCGACUUGUCUCAAUUCGGCGUCCAUAGACUCUGAAUUAGCCUACAAGUUUAAUAUGAAAGGAUUGUUGCAUUACGCACAAAUUAGCGAAUGAAACCGGGAUAGCCGCCUACAAAUUAGCCUACAAGUCUAAUAGAAAUUACCGUUUGUUUGAACCAAGAGAUGAAACCGGGAUAGCCGCCACCUUGCUUUGCGAGAAGCUCAUACUCUUCGACAGAAUCCUUUUGGAUCACCGCUCCAUACGAGAAUAAGGUGACGUAUCGACUGUAUGAAAUAUCCAGGAAUAAGAGCAGUUCAAAGGAAAUAGAAGUUGCGAAACUAUGUACCGAGAACUUACUCGAUGCACGGCCGCACUUCUAUCAGGUUGUUGAAGAUAUACAACGAAAUGGUCCGCCAUUGUUCGUUAUCCAAAGAUACUGGAUUUGAAACACUGGCUGGUGCGAGAUUCCCUUUGAAUAGGCUGAGGUUGGAUCCACCCUUUUUAGGGUCGUCAGCAUUGUACCGAGGCUUCGGAUUAUGCAAAUGACGAUUUUUGGCUUCGUAGUGUGCUGUCACGAAGUUUGCCGCCUCCUCAGUGAUGAAUGCCUCAGCCAUCGAUGCUUCAAUUCUACGUUUAUUUUUACAUUUUUGUCGAAGCGUCUUCUGCAUCCUCUCAGUUGGGUAGCACCAACGAUUUUGCACGGGCCCCCCCAAUCUUGCCUCGGUCGGGAGAUGCAAAAUCAAAUGUUGCAUUGGAUUAAAGAAGCCCGGUGGAAAGAUCUUCUCUAACUUGCAGAUCAACUCCGGCGCCAACUCUUCCAUUUCUUCUAGCACGCUAGGCGAUAGUUCUUUCGCACAAAGAACACGGAAGAAAUAGCUGAGUUCUGCCAGUACUAGCCAUUCAUCCUCAGGGAUGAAGCCACGGAACAUCACCGGCAUUACCCGCUCAAUCCAUAUGUGCCAAUCAUGACUCUUGAGACCAAAUAUCUUCAAUUUAUCAAGACUGGCUCCCCUCUGUAGAUUCGCUGCAUACCCAUCGGGGAACAUCAACUGCAUUUUCACCCACAAGAUAAUUUCCCUCAUAGCCGGCCUUCCAAGAUUGAACCAUGCCUUUGGCUUCGUCCAGUUCUGCUUUCCUUUCGGUUCUUUCAUGUUUUGUAACGGCCUAUCACAUAGCGCCUCCAGAUCGACUCUAGCCUUAGUAUUAUCCUUUGACUUCCCAUCUAUGCCGAACAAUGUACCAAAAAGUGCCUCGGCGAUAUUCUUCUCAGUGUGCAUCACGUCGAUGUUGUGUGGGCAAAGGAGGUCUUUGAAGUAAGGCAGAUCCCAUAAGCAUGUUUUGUGAGUCCAGGCGUGCUGAGAAUUAUACCCCUUGAAGUACCCUGGACGCUCGGGAUCUGGCUCGAGAGCGUUUAACUGAUCCAGGGUCUGUUGGCCUGUCAAUGCAUGUGGUGCAGAGUUUUUGACAACUCUACCUCUGAUGAAGUUCUUCUUGUCUUUCCUGAACUUAUGGCGAGGAUUCAGGAACUCUCUAUGCAUGUCGAAGCAAGAAAACUUGCGACCGGCCUGAAGCCAACGAAACUCAAGAGCUCCCUUGCAUGUGGGGCACGGGAACCUUCCAUGCACACACCAGCCAACGAAUAGCGCAUACGCCGGCAAGUCAUGCGUCGAGUACAUGUACCAGACACGCAUUAUGAAGUUCCGUUUGCUGUAGGCAUCGUAUGUCUUGAACCCAUUAUCCCAGGCUUCUUGCAAUUCGUCCUUAAGCGGUUGCAUGUACACAUUCAUAUUUUUCCCCGGAUAGUUGGGCCCUGGAAUUAUCAACGUCAGGAAAAUGUUCUUUCUUUGCAUAAUCUGUCCGGGGGGGAGAUUGAGUGGAAAGACAAAUACAGGCCAACAACUGUAUUGGGCUGCCGUCAUACCAAACACACUGAACCCAUCCGUGCUGAUGCCGACUCGAGGAUGCCUCAGAUCUGCCGCUUUGUCACCAUGUAAUUCAUCAAACUUUUUCCACGCAACACCAUCAGAUGUGUGUACAAUCAUCAGAUUCCCAUCUGCAUCUAGUUCGGUUCUUUUGCCCGUUUUGUGCCAUGUCAUCUGUCUGGCCGUCUCUUCGACCAUGAAAAGACGUUGAAGUCUUGGUACGAUUGGCAUAUACCGAAGAACACUAACGGGGAUUUUGGUCUGUGUCUUCUCACCCAUACCGUUGUCUACCACAACAUACCUGGAAGACUUGCAAAUGGGACAACAGUUCAAGUCCGCAUAGUCAAGCCUAAACAAGACACAUCCUUUCUCACAGGCAUGUAUCUUAUCAUAGGGCAUCUUCAGUGCACGGAGGAUUUUGUCCGACUGGUACAGGUUUGCAGGCAUUACAUGGCCUUUGGGUAGAAAGCGUCCAAAUACUGUCAUCAUUGCAUCGUAGCAUUCUCUGCCCAAGUUGAACUGAGCCUUCAAAGCCAUUACUUGUGAGAUGGCAUCCAACUGACAAAGCUCAGUGUGUUCAUGGAGCGGACGUUUUGAAGACUCCAACAUUUCAUUGAAGGCCUUUGCAGAUUCCUCCAUCUCCUCGUCCGAAUCCCGAGCAUCAUCAAAGUCUUGCACCAUGUUUUCCAUACCGGUACCAUGCUCGUCGGUGCGACGACGAUCCACCUCAGCUCGGUCACGUUGGGCAGACUCACCAUGAAAUGUCCACACCGUAUAAUCGGGCGUAAAACCACUCUUCUGCAGGUGUUUGCCCAUUUCAGCCUCUGUCCUCUUUUCCCAAUUGCCGCACCGUAAACAGGGGCACCAGGUUUUCCUCUGGCCAUUUGCAAAUGCGGCUCGCACAAACCCCUUGGUUUUUGUGAACCAUUCAGUGCUCCAUUUGUUCUGACCAGUGUGACCGGUGUACAUCCACGCACGAUCACUCAUCUUGACUUUCAGAGCUACUAGACACACAACAAAUAUAUAUAUAUAUAUAAUUCACCAUGUAUGUAUUCAUCAGUUGAUCUACUUUGUCAAUUUUAUUACGUCCAUGCAACCUACACUCUAAUAGGUAAUGAUAGGUCCUAAUCCCACCCGAGUAUGUUUAGAUUGGGUUCGUUUUCCCAUGCUAUGCCCCGGAUCCUACGCAAAAUUUCGGCAGCACCUCCCCGCUGUUCUCCUGAUACACGUCUCUGCAAUAAACAGAGAGGAUGUGUACCCGGAGAACAACAGGGGAGGCACUGACGAAAUUUAUGCGUCGGAUCCGGAGCAAAGCAUAUGGGAAAACGAACCCAAUCUAAACAUACUCGGGCUGUCCAUGGAUAGCGUUGGACAAUUCGAAAGAAUCAAGGUUAUAAAUAUGCAAAUGCAUGCAUAUUUAUAACUAUGACGCUUCCGAACGGGAGACACAUAUUGGUUACGCAUACUGAUGAUUCAAGACACAUAUAUAUCUAGCUAUCAAGUUUCAUCGGAAUAGAUCAAAUAAUUAAUGGGGGAGGAGGACAUGUCAUUUGUGCUCACCCACGAACGAAGGGGCAGAGCUCGUCAAACGCACGGCGAGGUCGUCGAACACCAAACCUCGCAGCGAUGAAACAACUGCACAUUUAAAACUACCCGAUCAACACAAUUAUAUAUGAUGUUUUUCAUAACAAAAUCGAAAGAUAUAUGACCUAACUAAUAAUUCACAAAUAUAUGACCCCAUCGGCUUCUGGAAGGCCAAAGAACACCUUUUCGGGAGGUGUCGGGGGUCGGGGUGUCGUGUCGGUCUCGGGGUGCCGUGUCGGGGUCGGGGUCUCNNNNNNNNNNNNNNNNNNNNNNNNNNNNNNNNNNNNNNNNNNNNNNNNNNNNNNNNNNNNNNNNNNNNNNNNNNNNNNNNNNNNNNNNNNNNNNNNNNNNNNNNNNNNNNNNNNNNNNNNNNNNNNNNNNNNNNNNNNNNNNNNNNNNNNNNNNNNNNNNNNNNNNNNNNNNNNNNNNNNNNNNNNNNNNNNNNNNNNNNNNNNNNNNNNNNNNNNNNNNNNNNNNNNNNNNNNNNNNNNNNNNNNNNNNNNNNNNNNNNNNNNNNNNNNNNNNNNNNNNNNNNNNNNNNNNNNNNNNNNNNNNNNNNNNNNNNNNNNNNNNNNNNNNNNNNNNNNNNNNNNNNNNNNNNNNNNNNNNNNNNNNNNNNNNNNNNNNNNNNNNNNNNNNNNNNNNNNNNNNNNNNNNNNNNNNNNNNNNNNNNNNNNNNNNNNNNNNNNNNNNNNNNNNNNNNNNNNNNNNNNNNNNNNNNNNNNNNNNNNNNNNNNNNNNNNNNNNNNNNNNNNNNNNNNNNNNNNNNNNNNNNNNNNNNNNNNNNNNNNNNNNNNNNNNNNNNNNNNNNNNNNNNNNNNNNNNNNNNNNNNNNNNNNNNNNNNNNNNNNNNNNNNNNNNNNNNNNNNNNNNNNNNNNNNNNNNNNNNNNNNNNNNNNNNNNNNNNNNNNNNNNNNNNNNNNNNNNNNNNNNNNNNNNNNNNNNNNNNNNNNNNNNNNNNNNNNNNNNNNNNNNNNNNNNNNNNNNNNNNNNNNNNNNNNNNNNNNNNNNNNNNNNNNNNNNNNNNNNNNNNNNNNNNNNNNNNNNNNNNNNNNNNNNNNNNNNNNNNNNNNNNNNNNNNNNNNNNNNNNNNNNNNNNNNNNNNNNNNNNNNNNNNNNNNNNNNNNNNNNNNNNNNNNNNNNNNNNNNNNNNNNNNNNNNNNNNNNNNNNNNNNNNNNNNNNNNNNNNNNNNNNNNNNNNNNNNNNNNNNNNNNNNNNNNNNNNNNNNNNNNNNNNNNNNNNNNNNNNNNNNNNNNNNNNNNNNNNNNNNNNNNNNNNNNNNNNNNNNNNNNNNNNNNNNNNNNNNNNNNNNNNNNNNNNNNNNNNNNNNNNNNNNNNNNNNNNNNNNNNNNNNNNNNNNNNNNNNNNNNNNNNNNNNNNNNNNNNNNNNNNNNNNNNNNNNNNNNNNNNNNNNNNNNNNNNNNNNNNNNNNNNNNNNNNNNNNNNNNNNNNNNNNNNNNNNNNNNNNNNNNNNNNNNNNNNNNNNNNNNNNNNNNNNNNNNNNNNNNNNNNNNNNNNNNNNNNNNNNNNNNNNNNNNNNNNNNNNNNNNNNNNNNNNNNNNNNNNNNNNNNNNNNNNNNNNNNNNNNNNNNNNNNNNNNNNNNNNNNNNNNNGGCGGCGCGCGGCGGGCGGCGGCGGCGGCGGGGUGGGAGGAGAAGGGCGAGGCGAGGACGAAGUGAGUAACGGGCGGGGGGUACCUGCCGUUAGGCAAGUGCCCUCUUUGCCGUCCGCCAGCCUUUGUCGUCCGCCUUUCUGCCUCUUUGCCGUCCGCUAGCGGACGGCAAAGAGGUGGGCCGUUAGGAUUUUUUCAAACGAGCGUGGGGUGGGGCCACCACACUCUUUGCCGUCGCCAGCGGACGGCAAAGAUUAUUUGCCGUCCGCUGGCAGACGGCAAAGACCAGGCAGAUGGCAAAGAGUGUGUUUGCCGUCAGCCUUUUCUUUGCCGUCUGUUUAUGUGUAGCUGAUGGCAAAGAGCUUCUUUGCCGUCAGCUAGCAGACGGCAAAGAUCUGGCAGAUGGCAAAUUAGCUGAUUCCAGUAGUGUGAGGGACUUUUUUGCAAAGAAACCUCCAUCACCGAAGGAGACGAUAGAUCCGGUGAAAGCGAAGCGCACUAUCGAUGCCCUGAAGCGACCACCACCGCCUUCACCGGAUGACAACCAUGUCCGCGCUCUUAAAAAGACAUUAGAAGAUGCGCGCCAGUCGGGAAUUACUUCAAGUGACAAAAGGUUAGCAGAACGAAGAAGUGGGAAAAAAAUUCCCCAGCUCGGCGAACAGGCGAACCAAUCGUGCCCCCCGCUCAAGGUGUCUAGCGAUAUUGUCGCAAAUUUGCCGGGGAUGGUGCCCGGUACCAAUCCUGGUGAUUACCUGGGCGAUGAUGUACAUUUUGAUACAAUGGAAGUGGACCAAUUCAGAUACCAGUACGGGAAGCCUCUUGUCAAAGAUGGAAGUCCUGCUCUAAUAACAAUGAUGCGAAUAUUCCAUGAAUGGUACAUGGAAACCUGCAGCAAGUCUGGGAAGGAUGCUUUGACAAUGAGAAUUAAAGAGGAGCAUGACUUCGUUGGACAAGAUCUAAUUAUUGUUGAUUUUGAUGAGUUUUUCUAGUUCUACAAUCAAAAGGCCAUCGACAAAUCACUCGUGGCUUGCUACUGUCUGUAAGUACUACUUCUGUAAUUAAGUCUCUAUAUAUAGCUCAGCACUUUCAUUGUAGUUAUCCUCACUAUAUUAUGCAGAUUGAAGAUCGUUGAAUGCAAAAAAGCACAAAUCUAUGACAUUGGGUUCAUUAACCCAAAUGUCAUACAUGAAUGGAUGGUUAAACGCAAUGUCUCAGAAACCGAGGACAACUUGCUACAAUCGUUGCUCAAAAAUCAAAGCAAAGAUAAAAUACUCUUUCCUUACAACUUCAAGUGAGUGUUACUGUCUUGUGCAUAUUCGGUUUCCCUUAUUGCUCAAGGUUAUAGUAAUGUAACUGAUGAGUUAUGCAUGCGUGCGCAGGUUCCACUUUAUUCUCCUAGAGAUUAAGCUUGAGCGGGGAGAAGUAACCGUCUUAGACACGAGACGAAAAGAUCCCGAGGACUAUGCGGACAUGACUCGAAUGCUCCAGAAGUAAGUUUAAUCGAUCAUUAUCGCACCAUAUCGACAACUUUGUUCAUUUCCUGAUAUCAAGUAAUUAUUUUCUUUGUCUGGCAGGGUUUGGAAAGAGUUCACCGCAAUUUCUUCGGGACUGCCGACCGAGCUGCGAUUUAAACACCCGAAAGUAAGUACUACCUAGUUCCGCGCAUCUCCCAUUGAUUCUAGCUAGUUUCAUCAAUACCAUUUAGCAUGCUUGCUUAUCAGUUUGAUUGACCUCUAUUUCUCGUAAAGUGCUUGUUGUAGGAAGCCGGGAAUGAUAUCUGUGGAUACUAUGUUUGCGAGUUCAUCUACAACGCGACGGCCUCUAAUAAGCGGGGCUAGUCUGUAAAACAAUAUGAAGUGCGUAAGCAAAAAUAUUCACAAUUUUAUUUUAUUACCAUCAUUUGUGUUGAGUUUCAUUUAUACACAUGUAUUGACCCUCUUCUUCAAUUUAGAUCUGGCAGAUGCGGGAUGAACUCCUACCAAAAGAUCGGAUACGAGCAAUUCAAGAGGAAUUGGCGGGAUUCUUUCCUGACCACGUCAUCAAUCCAGCCAGAGAAUACCAUGUGGAACUUGACUUCAGAUGUUAGGGAUUGUAAGAGAUCUUAUAUUUUAUAUAUGUAGCUAGUAGCGCCGGAUAGAUAUACGAAAACUUAUUGUAUAUAUUGUUGAUGCUAUGAUGAAAGCUUUGAAAGAGGAAUUGGAAUUAGAAGUUUCAAUUCCUAGAAAAUUACAUGAUGAGUGGGAACCUACUAUCAAAGUCAAGAUUAAAUUUGCUUUAUGUGACUUGGGUGCUAGUGUUUCUACAAUUCCGAAAUCUCUUUGUGAUGUGCUUGGUCUUACCGAUAUCGAAGAAUGUUCUUUAAAUUUUCACUUGGUAGAUUCUACUAUUAAAAAGCCUAUGGGAAGAAUUAAUGAUGUUCUUAUUCUUGCAAAUAGGAAUUAUGUGCCCAUAGAUUUUAUUGUUCUUGAUAUUGAUUGCAAUCUGUCUUGUCCAAUUAUUCUUGGUAGACCAUUUUUACGUUAUAUUGGUGCCGUGAUUGAUAUGAAAGAAGGCAACAUUAAGUUUCAAUUUCCACUAAGGGUAUGUAACACUUCCCUAGAACAAGAACUAGUCCACCAUAUGAAUCAAUCAUGAGGGCAUCUUAUGGAUCUAGAAACAAAGAUGACAAUACUUAGAUCCUUGCUUUAUGCCUAGCUAAGGGCGUAAAACGAUAGCGCUUGUUGGGAGGCAACCCAAUGAAUAAAAUUUAUUUUUGUCUUUUGCUUUCUAGUCUUGAGUGUUUGCACAAUUAUGAUACUGUUAUGAUUGUGUUUUUUGCGUUUUAGUUAGUGUUUGUGCCAAGCAAAGCCUUUAGGAUCAUUUUGGGUGAUUGUUGAUUUGAUCUUGCUGAAAAACAGAAACUUUUGCACUCACGAAAAUAAUUCUCAUUUUUAACAGGAGCGUGAUAAAAUACCAACUCUUUUUGCAGAAGAUUAAUAUACAAAUUGUUCACGUGUUCCUAAUUUUUCAGAAUUUUCGGAGUUACAGAAGUAUUCGAAAUAUCCAGAUUGCUACAGACUGUUCUGUUUUUGACAGAUUCUGUUUUCUUUGCAUUUUGUGCUUGUUUUGAUUAUUCUUUGGUUUUCUUUGAAGAGUUUUUGCCAUAGAAAAGUUGGAAUAUAGUAUAUAUAAUGCAAUAAUAAAAUAUGAAUUGGUUUUCUACAAUACUUAUAGUAGUGAUUUGCUUUCUUAUACUAACGGAUCUCACGAAGGUUUUGUUGAGUUUUUUGUGAUUGAAGUUUUCAAGUUUUGGGUGAUGUUACUAUGGAUGAAGGAAUAAGGAGUAAGAAGAGCCUAAGUUUGGGGAUGCCCAUAGCAUCCCAAGAUAUUAUCCAAAGAGAUGCAAGCAACUAAUCUUGGGGAUGCCCAAGUGGCAUCCCCUCUUUCUUCUAACGACCAUCAGUAUUUUACUCGGAACUAUAUUUUUAUUCGUCACAUACUGUGAGUUUCACUUGGAGCGUCUUGUAUGAUAUGAGUCUUUGCUUGUUUUGCUUUUUAUUUUAAGUCUUGAAUCCUUGCUGGACACACCUAUUUGAGAGAGCCAAAAUUAUGCCAUGACUUGUUAGAAUUGCUCUCUAUGCUUCACUUAAAUCUUUAUGAGCUAUGGAAUUGCUCUAGUGCUUCACUUAUAUCUUUUUUUAGCACGGUGUGCUUUAGUAUUUUUUGAAGAAAUGCUCUCAUGCUUCACUUAGAUUUAUUUGGGAGUUAGUAAUUUUUUAAGAAAUUCUCUCUUGCUUCACUUAAAUUAAUUUGAGAGAAAAAAAUAUUAUGCUCAUGAUCUUCACUUAUAUUUGUUUGACCUUAUCAAAAGCAACACAUGAAAAUUAGUCCCAAAGUGAUAGAUAUCCAAGAAGGAUAUAAUAAAAACUUUCAUGAAGAUCAUUGGACAAAAUAAACUUGAUUCCUUGUAAUAUUUUUGAGAAUAUGAUGAUAUGAUAUGUGAGUCAUGUUGAUGAGUAAUUGUGCUUUAGUAAGAAUAUUGGUGUUAAGAUUUGUGAUUCCCUAUGCAAGCACAAAAGUCAGUAGUUAUGCAAUGAAAUUAUAUCCUACUUGUGGUGCAUUAUUCGGUGUUAAUUAUGCUUAAUGCUCUCUUAUGAGAUUUUUCGUUUCUUGGUUGGUCGCUUCUCAAUCUUUUGCUAGCCUUCAUUUUGCACUAAGUGUGAUCUCUACUUGUGCAUCCAAAAUCCUUUAAAACAGUUUUGCCACAUGAGUCCACUAUACGUACGUAUAUGCGGUAUUCUUUUGCUGUUCUAAGCAAAUUUGUAUGUGCCAUCUCUAAUUUUCAAAUAAACUUCUCUUUUGUGUGCUCGUACCGCUCGCGAGGCGGUGAGGGGUGGCCAAUAUUUUCCAUGCUAGAUGUGUUAUUCUCAUGAUUAGUGUUUAUUCAUUUGUCAUUGCAUGAGAGUAAGGCAAAGGUAUUAGGGAUGCCCAGUCCCGAUAUGAAAAAUGAAUUUACUUUAUGUUGUCAAAUAAUAAAUUCCUUGGAAAGUGUUGGUAUGGAGGGCACCCGUGGAUACGGUUAGCCAUGGAAAGUGAAAGUAUGGUGGAAAAAGGAAUACACUUUAUUUUCUGUUUGGGAACCGCCUAUGAUAUAUCUAGCAUGGAAAGUGUUGGGAACUCUAAGUCGUUAUCGUUGGUGGGAAAAGCAUGCCUCCCAAAAUGUUUUUAUCUCUAUGUUUUGUCGCUUUGAGCUCUGGCACCUCUACAAAUCCCUACUUCCCUCCGCGAAGGGCCUUUCUUUUACUUUAUGCAUUUUUUUAAUUUGAGUCUCCAUCUUCUCUUAUAAAGCACCAACUAAGGGGCACUAUGAUCGUACUUGAGCAUUGGGCGUAGCUAAUAUGCGAGUGUGUUUCAUGAAUGGAUCAAUGAUUGAACAUGAUGGGCAAGGGAUAACUUAUUUUAGCGUUGAUAUUUUGAAAGACAUGGUUGCUUCUUCAUAUGCUUGAGUAUUUAAGUUAUCAUGUCAAAACUAGACUAUUGCUUUGAACCAUAUAAAAGUCCAAAUGUCCAUGCUAUAAAGAAAACAAUAUGUGAUGAACAUGUUAGGAAGCAUUCCACAUCAAAAAUUCUGUUUUUAUCAUAUACCUACUCGAGGACGAGCAGGAAUUAAGCUUGGGGAUGCUGAUACGUCUCCAAUGUAUCUAUAAUUUUUUAUUGUUCCAUGCUGUUAUAUUAUCAUUCUUGGAUGUUUUACAAUCAUUUUAUAGUCAUUUUAUAUCAUUUUUUGGUACUAACCUAUUGACAUAGUGCCCAGUGCCAGUUGCUGUUUUCUGCAUGUUUUUUACAUUGCACGAAAUCAAUACCAAACGGAGUCCAAAUGCAGCGAAACUUUUUGUGGAUUUUUUGGGACCAGAAUACAUCCAAUGGCCCAGAGAAGCACCUAGGGGUGCCCCGAGGGGGGCACAACCCACCAGGGCACGCCUGGGCCUCCAGGCGCGCUUAGGUGGGUUGUGCCCACCUCGGUGGCCUCCCGCACCGCCUCUUUGCUCUAUAAAUACCCCAAUAUUCGAGAAACCCUAGGGGAGUCAACGAAAAUCAAUUCCGGUCGCCACAAGUUCCAGAACCACCAGGUCCAAUCUAGACACAAUCACGGAGGGGUUCAUCAUGUCCAUUGGCGCCUCUCCGAUGAUGCGUGAGUAGUUCUUUGUAGACCUACGGGUCCGUAGUUAGUAGCUAGAUGGCUUCCUCUCUCUCUUUUGAUUCUCAAUACAAUGGUCUCUUGGAGAUCCAUAUGAUGUAACUCUUUUUGCGGUGUGUUUGUUGGGAUCCGAUGAACUUUGAGUUUAUGAUCAGAUCUAUCUUUUUAUACAUGAAAGUUAUUUGAGUCUUCUUUGAUAUCUUAUAUGCAUGAUUGCUUGUAGCCUCGUAUUUCUUCUCCAAUAUUUGGGUUUUGUUUGGCCAACUUGAUCUAUUUAUCUUGCAAUGGGAAGAGGUGUUUGUAAUGGGUUCGAUCUUACAGUGCUUGAUCCCAGUGACAGAAAGGGAACCGGCAUGUAUGUAUCGUUGCUAUUAAGGAUAACAAGAUGGGGUCUAUUUCUACGUAAAUAGAUCUUGUCUACAUCAUGUCAUCGUUCUUAUUGCAUUACUCCGUUUCUCCAUGAACUUAAUACACUAGAUGCAUGCUGGAUAGCGGUCGAUGUGUGGAGUAAUAGUAGUAGAUGUAGGCAGGAGUCGGUCUACUAAUCUUGGACAUGAUGCCUAUAUAAUGAUCAUUGCCUGGAUAUCGUCAUGAUUAUUUGAAGUUCUAUCAAUUGCCCAACAGUAAUUUGUUCACCCACCGUUUGCUAUUUUUCUCGAGAGAAGCCACUAGUGAAAUCUACGCCCCCCGGGUCUCUUCUUUAUUAUAUUUGCCUUUGCGAUCUACUUUUAUUUGCUUUUAUUUUCAGAUUUACUAAACCAAAAAUACAAAUAUACCUUGCUGCACUUUAUUUUAUUUGCGAUCUAUUUAUCCAACCUAUUACAACUUUACACCAUCCUUUUGCCAAUUUCUGGCGCCGUUACCCGAAAGGGAUUGACAACCCCUUUAACACAUCGGGUUGUGAGUAUUUGUUAUUUGUGUGCAGGUGCUGUUUACGUAGUGUUGCUUGGUUCUCCUACUGGUUCGAUAAUCUUGGUCUCAUCACUGAGGGAAAUACCUACUGUCGCUGUACUUCAUCAUCCCUUCCUCUUUGGGGAAAUACCGACGUAGUUUCUAGCAGGCAUCACGCAUUAAGCAAGAUGACAUGAUGUAAAGGAAUUAACUCAAGCAAUAUGAUGAAAACCCCAUCUUUUAUCCUCGAUGGCAACAAUACAAUACGUGCCUUGCUGCCCCUACUAUCACUGGGAAAGGACACCGCAAGAUUGAACCCAAAGCUAAGCACUUCUCCCAUUGCAAGAAAAACCAAUCUAGUUGGCCAAACCAAACCGAUAGUUCGAAGAGAAUUAAAAAGAUAUCAAAUCAUGCAUAUAAGAAUUCAGAGAAGAUUCAAAUAAUAUUCAUAGAUAAGCUGAUCAUAAAUCCACAAUUCAUCAGAUCUCGGCAAACACACCGCAAAAAAGUAUUACAUCGAAUAGAUCUCCAGGAACAUCGAGGAGAACAUGGUAUUGAGAAUUAAAGAGAGAAAGAAGCCAUAUAGCUACUAGCUAUGGACCCGUAGGUCUGUGGUAAACUACUCACGCUUCAUCAGAAGGGCAAUAGAGUUGAUGUAGAAGCCCUCCGUGAUCAAAUCCCCCUCCGUCAGGGUGCCGGAAAAGGUCCCUAGAUGGGAUCUCAUGGGUACAGAAGGUUGCGGCGGUGGAAAAGUGUUUUCGUGGAUGCCUCUAUUGGUUUGGGGAUAUAUGGGAAUAUAUAGGCGCAAGAAUUGGGUCAGGGUAUGCCCGAGGGGCCCACAAGGGUGGGGGGUGCGCCCUAUCCCCUGGGUGCGCCCUCCGUCCUUGUGGCCGCCUCGUGGCUCCUCAGACUUCAUCUCCAAGUGUGCUGGUUGUCUUCUGGUCCAAGAAAAAUCGUGCGGAGGUUUCAUUCCAUUUGGACUCCGUUUGGUAGUCCUUUUCUGCGAGACUCAAAAUCAGGGAAGAAAACAGGAAUUGGCACUGGGCUCUAGGUUAAUAGGUUAGUCCCAAAAAUAAUAUAAAAUAGCAUAUUAAUGCAUAUAAAACAUCCAAAACAGAUAAUAUAAUAGCAUGGAACAAUAAAAAAUUAUAGAUACAUUGGAGACGGAUCAGCGAGGUGUUGCGCUCUAACUGAACCCGAGCAAGGCGUUGGGGUCUAACUGAACCCGCGAGAUUGCACUAGCUACGUUACUGAACCCCGAUCGAUCGCUUGCUAUUAAGUGAACCCGAGUGAUUCCUUCGCUACUGCUGCUAACUGAAGCCAAUCGAACCUGCUGCCUCUUGAUGAACAGUGAGUAUUGUUGGGGGUUGGAUGAAUAGUUCCCGGUGGGGGUUGGAUGAACAUGAUCCCGUGGUAGUAGAGGCCGUUGCCGCUGGAUGAAUAUGACCCUGAUCGAGGAGGCCGGUGGAGGGUGGAUGAACAGGACCCCGUGGAGGCUCCAUGAACAGUAGCCGGUGGAGGGUUGAUAAACAGGACCCCGUGGAGGUCCAUGAACAGUAGCCGGUGGAGGGUUGAUGAACAGGACCCCCGUGGAGGGCUGGUUGAAUAGUUGCCGGUGGAGGCUGGAUGAACAGGACCCCGUGGAUGAACAGUAGCUGGUUGAGGCUGGAAGAAGUCGACGGUGGAUGAACAGUAGCAGGUGGAGGCUGGAGGAAGUCGACGAUGGAUGAACAGUAGCAGGUGGAGGCUGAAGCGAGGCAGUAGACGGUGGAUGAACAGGACCCCGUUUCGACCGUAGGUGCUCCAACACAAGUCCGUUUCCUCUGUUUUGCGGUACGCCACACCCAUCCCGAUCAACAGAACCCCGUUUUGACCGUACGCGGUCAAACACAAGUCCGUUUCCUCCGUUUUGCGGUACGCCAGACCCUUCCCGAUGAACAGGACCCCGUUUCAAUCGUACGCAAUCGAACACAAGCCCGUUUUCUCCACUCUGCGGUACGCCAGACCCUUCCCGAUGAACAGGACCCCGCUUCGACCGUACGCGGUCGAACAGAAGGCCCGUUGUUGGUGUCAAAACCGGCGGAUCCCGGGUAGGGGGUCCCGAACUGUGCGUCUAGGAUCGAUGGUAACAGGAGACGGGGGAAACGAUGUUUACCCAGGUUCGGGCCCUCUCUAUGGAGGUAAUACCCUACUUCCUACUUGAUUGAUCUUGAUGAAUAUGAGUAUUACAAGAGUUGAUCUACCACGAGAUCGUAAUGGCUAAACCCUAGAAGUCUAGCCUGUAUGACUAUGGUAAUGUGUAUAUCCUUUCCGGACUAACCCCUCCGGUUUAUAUAGACACCGGGGGAACCUAGGGUUUACAUGGAGUCGGUUAUAUAAGAAGGAAUCUUCAUAGUUGGUCGCCAAGCUUGCCUUCCACGCCAAGGAGAGUCCAAUCCAGACACGAGUAUGGUCUUCGGUCUUCAUGUCUUCACAGUACAUCAGUCCGGCCCAUGGAUAACAGGCCGGACGCCCGAGGGCCCCUUUGUCCAGGACUCCCUCAGUAGCCCCUGAACCUGGCUUUCAAUGACGAGGAGUCUGGCGCGCAGAUUAUCUUCGGCAUUGCAAGGCGGGUUCUCCUUUCUCCGAACUCCAAGAUAGUCUUCGGAUGCGAUGAUAGUAUCCGGACCUGCCAUGUACCACACACAACCGCAGAGAGAAUAUAUAUUUCACACGAGCUCUAUCCGCUGACAGCUUUUGAGUAACAUGACACCACACCUGCCUGGUCCUUUUUUCGAACCGUUGGCCAGCCCACCGUCCCACGUCUUGAGAUGCGGUUUUAUUGGCACGUCUUGUCAAAGCGGAGAUCGUGUCCCCUUAUUGCGGGAUUUCCAUUAAUACGGGCGCGGGUAAUCCAACUGCGUCGUUUACACUGCCCAUUGGGAACAGGCGGGUUUUAUGACCAACGGGGGGGGGGGCUGAUAUUCAUAGCCUUUACAAGGGGAUAAGGAUUCGUGCUUUUCACCCACGCCCCCUCCUUCUCCGUCCUUCCGUCCUCGAGCUCCAGCGCAGAAGCUCCCAUCUUCCCCUAUUUCCAAAAAGCAUUUAGCCAUGUCUGGAUCCGGAGCGGGAGGCAAGUGGAUGACUUCAUCCGUGAAGCCGAAAGAUAUCAAGGAGCUCCGAGAGGCCGGAUAUCUGGCCGAGGUAAUCGUUCACCGACUCCCUGCCAAGGGACAGAUAGUGCCUACCCCCGAACCUCAAGAGAGGGUGGUGUUCCUUGCGCAUUUUGUCCAUGGGUUAGGAUUCCCUCUCCACCCAUUUGUUCGUGGACUAAUGUUUUACUAUGGACUGGACUUCCAUGACCUCGCCCCAACUUCGUCCUUAAUAUCUCCGCAUUCAUAGUCGUAUGCGAAGCCUUUCUCCGCAUCCCACCUCACUUUGGCCUAUGGCUGAAGACUUUUAAUGUAAAGCCAAAGGUGGUGCGCGGCCAACAGGCCGAGUGUGGAGGUGCCAUGGUGGGAAAGAUGCCCAAUAUCACCUGGCUCGAAGGAUCCUUUGUAGAGACAGUGAAGGGGUGGCAAUCGGGGUGGUUCUAUAUCACCGAGCCGCGCGACACCAACUGGGCGGCGGCUCCCGAAUUCCGAUCCGGAGUCCCGAUGCGGCUUACCUCCUGGCAAGAGAAGGGCUUGACCUGGGGGUCUUUGGAAGAGAUCACUGGGCUCCAAACGUGCCUCUAGAACAUGAUAACCCGGAAGAUCAAGCUCGUCGAUGUGAUCCAGGUCAUGCUUACACGCCGGAUCCUUCCAUGUCAGCACCGGACCUGUUAUUUGUGGGAGUUCGAUUCGGCCAAGCACCAGACGCUACUAAGGCUUUUCGGCACGACGCAUGAAGAUAUCUGGAAAGUGCUCUUCAGGGCCAGCGAGACAUCGCCACCCUCGACCAAAGAUCGCGGGCUCAGCUUAAAGCGUCAGGCCCAUUCGGUAAGCCGUCAAGGUAUAGUCUUUAAGGACAUACUUCGAGGAAGGAUACUAAGCCUUCUUAUCAAUUUCUUUUUCAGGCCUGGGCCGAUUUAGCGGGAUGGAUUAACUGUCUGGCUCCGCUGCCCAAAGACGAAGAAACUCCGCUCCUUACGGAGAUGCUAUUUCCGGCGCCUUAUGACGUGCCGGAAAAGAAGGUCAAAACCACGGCCAAGGGGACCAGGAGUAGCCUUCGCCGAAGGGGCACCUUGGUCGUCUCGUCUGACGACGAGACAGACCCCUCGGCCGCCGAAGAUGGCCACGAGGAGGAAAGCGACUCCCCCCCCUGCGGGAGGAAGGAAGAAAAGGGAGGCCUCCACGAGUUUGGAGGCAGAGGAGCCCAAGAGGGGGAGAGGCGCCCUCGCAGAUAACUCCGCGUGGGAUGCUGAUAGCAGUCCGAAGCGACCUCGCUGGACCAAGCCUCGGGCCGCUUCAUAAGUACCAGGAUCUGCAAACGUCUGGCCUUCUUGGUUUGUAAGAUUGACAUAUUUUAAACUUUGUCACUGCAGUCCGGCACGCGAUGGGUCCCCGCGAUCCUCGACAGAGGAUUCGCUGGACUCGAAGGAGAUGGCUAGCAUGUCUCCGCCACCUGCUCAUUCCAUCUCACCCAAGGGCGAUGACGAGGUGGUGUCCAAAAAGACUUUCCCAGGCCGGGGGAGAUUCCAGAGAUCAUCGGGGUGACGUCCCAGGAUGACUCCUCGGCCGCCGGACAUACAGGGGAGAAAGUUCCCACGGGGACUGGUGACGGGGCCCGAGUUCCCUUCGGGCCUCAGCUGGAUACCAUUCUGGAGAUUUACACGGCUCCGGGGUCCAGCAAUCGGCAUUCCCCCCCAAGGAGGUAAUGUGCCUGUUCCACCGGUGACCUCUGUCCAACCAGAGGCACCGGAUAAUCUGCUGGAGGCGCUACGAGGCGCCUCUAUCGUGGAUGAGCAUCGUGUCCUUAUGGACACGGUAAUAGAGAAGGUUCAGUUCGCCAAAAGUGGACUGACCGAAGCCUGCACUAGCCUUCUAACAGGCUUUGAGGUAAGUAAUGUGAUUGUAGGAAAAAUAUCACAGCAUAGACAGUAGCCCCUGAUGCUCUGUUUAGUGUUCGGGAGGAAAAGCCAAACAGAGGAUCAAGAAUGAAUAUCGCAGGAGUCUAACAUGAGUUGUCUAUGUGAAUAAGCAGGUAUCGCUGCAGGCUGCCACUGCUCAUGCUGCGGAGGUCUCCGGACGGAAGCAGAAACUAGAGCGGGCUGAGGAGGAGCUCAGCCU
rnacentral:lncRNA from 1 species